AUUGGUGGAGCUCCCGUCCGGAUCCGUCCCGACAGGAGCAGUAAAUGGGAAAAAAUAAGCGAAUUCGGAGCAGAAAACGGGGCAAGUUUUACGAUCCGAGACUGAUUCGGGGCAGGAAACGAAAAAAAUUUUGACUUGCUCCGAAUAUCAUUUGUAUUUUUAAAAAAUAUUUCUAAAAAAUAUUAUAUUUACAAAAAAAGUUCAAAGUACAAAUAAGUUAUUACUCUCAUUUCUAAUAUAUUUGAAACAUUUGAAUUUUGUUUUGAAUUGUGAUUCAUAUUUUUAAUUUUUACAAUUAAUAUUAUUAAAUUAUAUAUAUAAUAUUAUUAAAAAUUAUUUAAUUUAUAUUUUACAAAAUAUUAAUAAUAUUUUAAUUUUAUAAAAAAUAUUAGUUGGCGGGGCGGAUUCGAGGCGCCGGCGGGAGGCGGGUUAUGAGGCGGGGCGGGNGUUUGCAUCCCUAAUCAUGACGUGCUUGUUUUUUUUUUUUUCGAAAAAAAAUAUUUAUUUAUUGCUAAUUUGUUGUUUACAUGUGUUGUUGGCAUCAUAAUUUACAGCAAAUUAGAUACAACUAGCAAUGUAUCUGUGCUUUGCAGCGGAUGCGAUUUUUAAAUUCAUAAUUAUUAUAUUAUAUAUCAUACGUUGUGUAAAGUCACUUAAUAAGAGUCAAAUUGAUAAAAGUACUAAUUUUUAUAUAUAUCUCUUAUUUGGACAGAGAGAAGAGAACAAUAUUUAAGUAAAAGUUAAAAUCAGAGAGAGAGAGAGCGCACUUUCAAACUUUUAAAUAUAGUAUAUUUUACUCAUAAUUUAAAAAAAUAAAAACUAAAGAUCUUUAAAAAUGUGUAAUUACUAAAUUAAAGUUUAAAAUUAUUUUAACUAUUCAUAACUUUUGUUUGGAGAAAGAAAGAAAAGAGAGCAUUAAAUUAAAAAUUAAAUUGAGAGAGAGGGAGAAAAGCAGCAUGUACAUUUCUUUGCGAGAGAGAAAAGAGAAGAAAAAAAUAUAAAUAUUAAAUCAAAUAAAAAUUAAGUACGAGAGAGUGCACACUCUGUAAAAGAGAUAAAGUAUAUAUAUGAGGAAAACACUGUAUCACAUUAAAAAAUUAUAUCCUUAAUAGACCCAAUCAAAAUAGAACAAAUUCAUCUCCAUUGCCAAUUCAUGAUGUAUUAGAUUCGGUUUACAAUAUUAUGCAUGAUACUUCUAAAAGUCAAUUAUAAACAAUUUAAAAAUUAAGAUUUAAUUUAUUGAUUAUAUAUAGUAAUAUAUAGAUAUUUUUUUUUGGAAAAAACUUCAAAUACUACUUUUUUAUUUUAGUAGUCUAUGGUUUAAAGUAUAUCAAUUUAGUAUCCGUGGUUUUAUUUUUCUCUUUUUAUUACCUACUUCACUAAUUUUUUUCAUUAAAUCAGUGACAAAGUCAAAACUAAAAUGUAUUAAAGUGAACAUUCGAUAAACUUAGGUGGGGUAUCUGAAAUUUUUUAUAUAUAAUUUAAUAAAAUUUUAACGGAGGAGCUAACGAAAAGAGAAAAAUAAAAUCAUAGGGUAUUAAAUUGAUACAUUUUAAACCACAUGAUACUAAAAUAAGAAAGUGCGAAACCACAGGAGUCAUAUUUAAAGUUUAUCCUUUUUUUGAGAGAAAGUAGCAUGAUUUUACUUUUUUAGAAAUAAAUUUGUGUAUACUAAAAAUAAAUUUGUUAAAAAAAAAUUUAAAAAAAAGUUAUAUUACUUGGCUUGAAAAUGAAUUUUAUUUGAACUAAAGUUCAGAUAAAAAUUUUGAUUUUGCCGUUGUUGGCUCGAUAGAAAUUCGAUAGGUUUGAAACUGUAAUUAUCUUACAAUUUAUUUUACUACAAAUUUUGACACUAAUACAUAAGCCGAUGAAAAAAAUUACAGCAGUUAAUUUUUUUUUUUUAUUUCCUUUCUCCUUUUCUUCGGCACUACUCAGAGCAAAAUCAAUUAUAACGUUUUAGAAAAGCACGGAUAUGAGCGAAUAUAAUUUACUGCAAACCAAAUAACGAUAACGGACAUUAACGACCGAAAACAAUUUUAAACUCCCUCCACUUUCGAUGAAAUAAACAUGUUUCUGAAUUUAUCAAAUAGUUCAAUAGGCGCUCUUUCAAGGGGUUUUUUUUUUUAAAAAAAAAUGUAAAAUCUUAAACAACUAUAUAUGUAUACAGCAUCCAAUCAAAAUCCGCCGCGUAGCUUGGGCGCAUGAAGUUCCUACAUCCGGGAUUGCAUAGGAUGCAUAUAUAAACUACACGCCUGUUUCUUGUCGUUUAAUUGCAUGCAUGGUCGUAGAUUUCUCCGAAAGAUAGCGAUGGAAACUUUUUUUUUUUCCUUUUUUUUUUUUUUAAGUAGCUUCGUGAUUAUCAUAACCUUAAACCAAUGAAAGAAGAUAAUAUAUUAUAUAUAGAGAGAGAGAGAGCGAGAGAGGGGCUAAAAUACAAAAAAAAAAAAAAUACUUUUUCUCCUGAUUUUUAAAAAUUUAUAUCUUACCCUUUAAAAUAUCAACUUAAUGCAUUAAUUUAUUCCCCUCAGUCACAAGUUAUAUUAUUAAUUAUUUCGUUCAUUAUUUAUAAUUUAUACCAAAAAUACCCUAUGACAAAAAUAUAUUACAAUUUUUUUUUUUAUAAAAUAAGUAAGAAUAAUUUGGUCAUUUCGUCUUUCCAUUAACACUGUAAUCUCCUGAAAUUAUUUCUGAAAUUAAUGUAAAGGAGCAAAAAUAUAUAUAGAUUUUUGAAAGUGAGGGAAAAAAUGUAAAGUGCAUAUUUAUAGAAAAAUUUUCUGUACUUUAGUCAUAGCAGGCCAUAGGAUGUUGUUUGUCCAUGCAUGCAAUUUAUAAUUUAGAAGUAAUUAAUUCCAUCAGUAUGCAUAAAAAGUAGAAUAAAGAUAUUAGAAUUGAUAAAUAACUUUAUAUGUAUAAUUAAAAAGAUAUUUAUCCAAGGCUUAUAUAAUAAUGUAUUGCUCAAAGAGUUGAUCUAAUGAUAGAAAACUUGAUAGCAUUAGGUGUUAAUUUGGUGCUAUCGAUAGCAUUGUAGCCAGACUUUAUAUAUAGAACUAGGCUAGAAUACUAUUAAUAGCAAGUCAUUGGUGCUAUUAAAUUUUCGGCCCUUUAAUAAAACAAUGUGCGGUUAGGAUGAUAGUGAUUCCCUAUGGUUUAGUAGGUGGUUGGUUGAAUAGUAUGAUCUAAUGGGUAAAAAUAGUCAAAGGGUUGAUCUAACGGCAGAAAAUUUGAUAGCACCAAGUGCUUGGUGCUAUCGAUAGUAUUGUAGCCGGAUUCUAUAUAUAGAAAUAGACUAGAAUACUAUUAAUAGCACCAAAGUCAUUGGUAUAUUAAAUUUUCAGUCCUUUAAUAAAGCGAUGUGUGGUUAGGAUGAUAGUGGUCCCCUAGGGUUGAGUGGGUGAUUGGUUGAAUAGUAGGAUCUAACGGAUAAAAAUGGUCAAAUGGUUGAUUUAAUGGCAGAAAAUUUGAUAACACCAAAUGUUUGGUGCUAUCAAUAGCAUUGUAUAGCGGGACUCUAUGCAUAUAUAUAUAUAUUAGAAUUCUUUAGUUUAAACUUUUAUUUCGGUUCCAGAUAUGAGCAGUAUUUGAGGAAAAAAAUUGAAAAUUUAGUUACAACUGGUGCUAUAUUAGAGAGAUAGGUAGCACGCUACCCACUUCGUUUAUUUUAUUUAAAAAUAAACUUAGCUGGAAAUAUGAAUCAACUAGGAUUCGAACUUUGUGUUUUAAUUUCAAGACUUAAAAUUAAAACACGAAGUUUUCAUUAAAUAAAAUAAACUUAGCUGGAAAUGUGAAUCAACUAGGAUUCGAACUUUGUGUUUUAAUUUCGAGACUUAAAAUUAAAACACAAAGUUUUCAUUUAAGUCUUUGUGCUUCUGCUACAAAGAGGACUCGUUUAGAAGUUUUUUUUUAUCAAUAAGUGCUUUUUAUAAUAGUUUUGUUCAAACAAUACUUCAUCAAAUAGCACUAUAUAAUCUAAAACCUAAAGCUAGGCGAAACAGAUAAUUAGUACCUACCAAAAGAUUCAAACUUACAUACCUAUAAUAGGAGAAAUAGUUAUUAGGAAAAAUUUCUUCAAUACCCUUCCAAGUAGUUCUAAUUUCAUGAAUACCCUUCAAAAUUUUAAAAUUUCAUAUUUGCCCUCCAAAAGUAUGGAAAAAUUUCAAAAAUACCCUCACUGCUAGCAAUAUGUUAUAUUAGCUUCAAAUACCAAUUUUACCCUCUAUUUUAAUUUAAUCACCACUCUCACAAUUUUUUUUUUGAAUAUAUGGAGACCCCCUCAAUUACUACCCAUUGUGAAAUACCCUCCUAAAUUUAACUUUUUAAUUAAAGUCUUCUUAAAUUUUAUUUUCUUAAAUUGAAUGAUUUUUUAUUAAUAAAUUAGAGAUUUUAUCUAAUCCAUUAAUGAUUCAAACAAAUUUAAUAAUUUUAAUAACCUCGUAGUAUAUAAAAUUAAAUAAGUUUCUGUUCAAAAAAGAAAAUUAAUAAAAACUUCAAGGAUUCACUUAAAUGACCUAUAGUUGAUAGUUUUAGUAUAAAUAUCAAAAAUAAGUGAAAAAACUUUGAUUUUUAAACAAAAAAUAAGGGUAAAAUGGUCAUUUCAUAUUUUGAAAUAAAAUAAAAAAAUGCUAUGUUGACGAAAGUUAGCAAAAAAUUAUCGGUGAGGGUAUUUAUGAAAGAAAUAUUGUAUGUAGAUCUAGGGGUAUUUGUGAAAUUUUAAAAAUUCAAAGGGUAUUUAUGAUAUUUCAUAACUUUGUGAGGGUACAAAUGAAAUUAACCCUACCAAAAGAUUCAAACUUACAUACCUAUAGUAGGAGAAAUAGUUAUUUUAUGUAAAGCAUUUGUUAAACAAAAAAAAUUGAAAAGUCUACUACUGCAGAAUAAAGCAGAAAUAAUCUUGUUUUGAUGCUCAAAAACAAAGUUUUAAUUUGAUCCUUCUACUCUCUUUUCUUAUAUAAUACCUCUUAUAAUUCGAUUCAAUCAGCACUUUCUUAAAUAGUAUACUAAAAAAUAUGAAAUAAUCGUUAUACUUUAAAAACUUAAAACUAGUAGAUAAUGGUGUUUUUAUAUUUUUAUAUUUAACACUCUCCAUUAUGUCAGUUCAAAAUAUGGAUUUGAAUUAAAUAUGAGAAAAUUACUUAUGUUAGAAAUCUGACGUGACUCGAACUCAAAACAUUCUAUGCUGAUACCAUAUUAAAGAAUAUGAAACGAUUUAUUAUACUCUAAAGCCUUAAACCAGUAAAAAAAAAAAAGAUACUUUUAUAUUUUUAUAUUAAUCAGAGUUGAGACACAGAUGUUAGCACAUCUUGUCAAAAGUUUGGCAGCAGUACUAGUGCAGUGUCCCCACCCUAACUAGAUAGGUUAAUUUAUCAUCCAAACAUAUAUAGAUAACAAAUAAAUUGAGUUUCUAUCUAUAUAUAUUCUAGAAUGUUGUGUUUGUUUACUAAUUACUUGACAUGUCCAAAUUGACUAGCUAGCAAAAGUGACAUGUCCAAUUUGACUAAAGCCAUCUUUUGCUCUUAAUUUGUUCAAAUCUCUUAUGCUCCGUUUGGAUUAUGAAAAUAUUAUAUUACAUGCAGUAAAAAAAAACAAUAAAAAAAUAUUGUAUAUAUAUAUGAUAUUACGUUGCGUAUAUUGUAAUAAGUCAGUUACAGUAUAUUUUUUUCGAUCCCAUAAAAAAAUAAAAUAUAUAUAUAUUUUAUAUGCUUUUGUCUUAAUUCUAUUUUGACUAAUCACAUUAGAUAGUCCAUGAUAUAAAACAUACCCUUAAAUUUUUUUUUUCUUCAUUGUUAUGUGUGAGAAGGGUCAAGAGAAAGGUGACAAAUUUUUCCAAUGGGCUCUUUGAAUUUUUAUGAGGAGUUGAUUUCUUUUCAUCUCAUUAUCACUUUGCCCCAAUUUUCUUACUAUUUUCUCUAGAAUACUACUGUUGGUUUGAACUAGUUAUCAUUGAUAAAUAUUAUUUUAUUAUCAUACAACAAAUAUAUGUUAUAUAUAAGUAAAAACAGUUGGUUUCUGAUUUUCUUUUUUUUUUAUUUUUUUGACCUUUCAAUGAUGUUAAAUUUAAAACGACAAAUAUAGGCCUCAUUUGGUAUUGUUGCUAUUUUUUUUUUUUUAUUUAGUAGCAAAUUUUAUAUGAGUGAAGGAACCAAAAAAUUGACUCUAGCUGUAUAUACGAAAUUAAGCUAGAAUACUAUUAACAGCACCAAGUCAUUAGUGCUAUUAAAUUUUGGCUUUUGGAUGAAGCGAUGUGCGAUUAGGAUGACAGUGACCUCUUAGGGUUGAGUAGUUGGUUGGUUGAAUAGUAUGAUUUAACGGAUGAAAAUGGUCAAAGGGAUAGCUCUAACGAUUGAAAACUCAUAAGUACAAAAGAAUUUAUACUCAUAAAAGUAUAGUAGCCGGACUCUAUAUAUACACUACAACGGAAUUAGGUUAUAGGGACACAUGUUUGGAACACUUUUAUGUAAGUGUCUCAUUUAUGCCAAAACUUUAAAAAAAAAAAUCUGCUAAUGCCUAAGUAUAAAGCCCAAUCCAACUAAAAAUAAAAGAUUACUCUACUCAAUCAACCCCACCCAGCUCAUUCGGCCCGAUUACAAACAGAAAAGAAAAAAAAAAUCGAUCAUCAUCUCCCAUUCUCCUCUCUCACUCAAUCCACUGAAAUUCUAGACGAAGAGCCCUUCCCUCUCCUUAUCCUCCGCCACCGCAGCCAACGAGGUAGAGUUUCGGCAGUUGUUAAAUACUUAAAUAAGUAUUAGUAAAUUAGCAGCACUCUUUUUAGGUUAUACCGACACUCUUUAACUGUCAUUAUAUACCUAGUGACCCCACAUAUAGCAACACUUUUUUAAAAUGUCGGUAAUUUAGCCAGCAGCACUUUUUUUGACAUGUACUGACAUUUAAAAGUGUCGUUAUAGACCGUUUUUGUUGUAGUGAUAGAUUAAGACUUUUAUACUCUUAUGAGUAUAGACCCUUUUGUACUAUUAGAUUUUUGUACUUAUAUGUAGUGAGAGAAACCAUAGUACUAUUGAUAGUUAAAAAAAAAAAAUAGUAUUUACUAUCUACCAUUUACUCCUUGCAUUCAUAAUAUUACUACUACCAGAUAGUUAAAUCUAAUUCAAAAUAUAAAAAAUAGAUAGCUAACAUUAUUUCGCUGCAAUCAAUAGAAUUCUUUUCACGUAUACUGGCUAUAUAUAUAUAUAUAGAGAGAGAGAGAGAGAGUAAAGCUAUUAUACUAUUGAAAGUAUAAAGGAUAUGGUGCUUUCAACUUUUUGACCUUUAGAUCAACCCUUUUAAUUAUUUUUAAACUUUGGAUUAAUACUUACCCUGUAGGGACCACUCAAUCCUAAGGGUACUACGUACUCAAUCUUAAAGGGGACUGCAAUCAUCUCAACCGUACAAUUCUUAAUCCAGAGAUCAAAAAGUUGAAAGCACCGUAUUCUCUAUACUUCUUAUAGCACAGUAACUCUACACUAAUAUUAUAUAUAUUAAUACAUAUAUAUAUUAUAUAAUAUAUACUAUACUAUAUAUGAUUAUAUUGAUAUAUGAGCCGAGAAUACUUUUAAAGUGACUCAAAGUGAGGUGGUAUGCCGUUGCGAGGUGGUGCUUUUGAGUUUUAACAUUGGAUGGGGAGUUUAGGUUGAGAUAAUGUGGUAGGUGGUGAAUAGUGGAUAUGUAUUUGAUCUAAGGGAUAUUAAUAAUUAAGGAGUAGAUCUAAGGCUAGAACUGGAAGAUCUUAAGGCGGUUCGGGUGCUUCUAAAAGUAUUCUAGCUCAAUUAUCAUAUAUUAUAUAUAUAUAUAUAUAUAUAUAUAUAUAUAUAUAUAUAUAUAUAUAUAUAUAUAGAGCUACUAUACUCUUAUGAGUAUAGAGCCCUUCGUCCUUAAAAGUUAUUUUUUAUGAUGGAACUUCCGAAUCGACGAUUGCGUUAAAUAUGAUCUAAAGUAUUUAAAAUUUCUAAAAAGUAAAUUUCAUAAUUUUGCGAAACUAUAAUAAAGUCAAUCAAGCGGGCAUAAAAUGAACGGUCAAAAUCCAACGACAUUCUAAAAAUAGAUGAUCGGAAUCUUCAAUUUAAGAUUGGAAUUAUUUAUCUUUAUAUAGAUAGUGAAAAGAAUUUUCUAUCAAAAAUUUCACUGAUUCUUUUACACCGUUAAACUAACAAGUAUUCAAUACCGGCCGUUAAAAAUUGUCAAUUUUGAAAUCUUUUUAUUGUAAUGUAAAUGAUGUCGAAAAAUUAUAAAAUUUAAUUUCUAAAAAUUUUAAAUAUUUUAGAUAACGUUUAACAGUAUAAAUCGUCGAUUCGGAAAUCCUAUCAUCAAAAAUAAUUUAUGAAUAUGAAAGCGAUCGUGCCGAUAAGAACAUAUAUGCUUGUCAUAAUAUGCGAAAUGAAUCCUACAAGAGGGCCGGAACUGGACAAAUAAAUGCUUAAUAUAAAUUAAUUGGAUUUUUGUUUCCUCUUUCUUGUUCUUUCUUUUUUUUUUUUGUCUUUUUGAUGUUUCCUUUUUAGUUUAUAUCCCCCACUAUAAACCACAUAUUAAUUGGUGACCACAUAUUAUUAUUACUCUUUCUCUCUCUCUCUCUCCCUCUCUCCAUUAACACUUCUCCUACAUAUAUAUACAUGUAUACAUGCUUCAUCUCUUUCAUUAAGAAAAAAAAAAAAAAACAUACUCUUUUGUUUAUUAAGAACCCAAAAGAGAGAGAGAGAGAGAGAGAGAGAGAGAGGGGUUCAUCAUCGAUCAUGGCACAAUCCAAAGAAGCCAAAAACCAUCCUCUUCUCCUUCUCUCUCUACUCUUCAUAUUUAAUAUCUCUCCAUGUUUCUCUCUCAACAACAUCACAAACCUCCCUGGCUUUGAUGGGCCUCUCCCCUUCUACUUUGAAACUGGGUAUAUAUAUAUCUAAUGAACUACUUAGUUGCAUGCAUGCAUGCAUGCAUGCGUGCGUGCGUGCGUGCGUGGGUGCAUGGUUUGUAUAAAUAUGUAUAGUAAUGAUAAUAAAAAUUAUUACUGUUAUGAUUAAUUGUGUGUUAAUUGCAUGUGUUAUGUAGGUACGUGGAGGUGGAUGAGGUGAAGGGGGUGGAGCUGUUCUACUAUUUCAUAAAGUCCGAGGGGUUUCCCGCAAAAGAUCCACUCCUCCUUUGGCUCACUGGUGGGCCGGGGUGCUCUGCUUUCUCCGGCUUGGUCUUUGAGAUUGGUGAGAUUUAUCAUCUUUUUAUUUUUUUAUUCUUAUUAUUAUUACUAUUUUUUUUAACUAUUUUUUAAGUUUUUCAAAUUUUUUUUCUCCUUUUUUUGUGUGUGGAUGGACCUGGAACUUAAUUUGAAUGCGAUCGCUAAUAAACGCAUACGCUUGGGCUUGAACUUUUCGACCUUAUAUAUAUAUAUAUAUAUAUAUGGAACGUAUAAUAAGGAAUUAGAUGUUAAUUAUUGCCUUUUUUUAAUAGAGAAUUAAGUAAUUUUCAAAGUUUUUUUUUUGUGGGGAAAAAUUUAGAAAACUCAUUAAUUUUUUUUCUUAUAAUUUGAGUUUUUUAAAAAAAUUAUAAAAUUCGGGGUAUGUCGGACCGUGUCAGGCAAAAUCGAUCCAGCUAUAAAAAAAAAAAGAAAGACCCAGCACGGCACAGCCUAGGCCGAAAUUGUUCAGCAUGCGAAGUUAAUCCGACAGGAAAAGGGGGCCCAGCCCGGCUCGGUUCGUGCUUCGCUGAAAUCAACUACUACUUGAUUAAUAAAGAUAAAAAAAGAAACAAAAGUUUAUAAACCAAAUAAAAAGCACAUUGAAAUUAGACUUAGUUUGGUAUUGAGAUCCUGACACUAUUAGAUAAAAUAGAGUUUAGAUAAAAAUAUAUAAGGGUAUGCUUUUGGGUUCUCCAGUGGGACCACAGAAAAAAAUAUGGUAACCGACUCAUCGUCAUAUACAUAACGCAAUAUUAUAUACGAAAACAAACAUGAUAUUUUUUCAUCAUACUUUUUUAUCAUAUAUAACGUAAUCUCUUCGCAAUCCCAAACAAAGCCUAAGUAACAAGUAUAUUUAUGGAGCUAAUCAAUUUGUGAUUGCAGGUCCUUUGCAAUUUGAUGUUGCAGGCUACACAGAGGGCCUUCCAUCUUUGGUCUACAACCCACUCUCUUGGACUAAGGCACUUCAACUCUCUCUCUCUCUCUCUCUCUCUCUCUCUCUCUCUCUCUCUCUCAUUUAAAAUUGGUUUGCAAAUUUUAGCGCGUGUUAACGUGGUGCUAUAGAAAUCUUUAUAUUAUUACGUAUCAGGGCGUGGGCAAUCGACCUCGCCUGUUCGCGGCGUGCAGCUCGUGUCGGCUCGACAGGUCGGCCCUCAAGUCGAUAAUGGUUCGUUAAAUAAAUAAGCGAACACGAGGUGAAUUUUCAGCUAGCUUUUAAUAAUGCCGGCUGGGUCAGCUCACUCGUAUUCGACUUGUUAACAGCCUUGAAAUGAUAGGGUACUACUAUAAUAUGAUAUAUAUAGAGGAGGUAUAGUAUAGAGUAGUAUAUAUAUACAGGUAUAUGUAGGGUAUCGUAUAUAAAUAAUUGGUUUUUAGCUUAAUCUAAAUAUAAAGCCUAACUCAAUUAUAAAAAAAAGUCAUUUAUAUAUAAAAUUUCAACUAUUAGAUCAAAGUCAAAUAGAUAAGAUUUCAUAAAUUUAUUUUCUAUACUUAUCCUUCAUAAUUUUUUUAACUUGUUGUCACGAGCCAGCUCGUAUUUGCCUUGUAUUCGGCUCGUUAAUAAAUGAGCCGAACACGAGCUGAAUUUUUCAGCUUGAUAUUUUAAUGAGCUAGCUCGUUUUUAUGAAAUGAGUCGAACACUAAUGUGCCAGCAAAUUUUAGUGGCAUGUUUGAAUUGUUUGCACAAACCAAUUAAAAGCUUUUGCACCAUAUAUAUAUAUAUAUAUACAUAGAGUCCUGCUAAGAUACUAUCGAUAGCACCAAGCAUUUGAUACUAUCAAGUUUUCCGCCGUUAGAUUUAACUAUUUGACUAUUUUUAUCCAUUAAAUUAUACUAUUAAAUCAAUAACUCACUUAACCCUAUGAGGUCCAUAUUAUUCUAACCGUAUAUUUUUUUUCAUUCAAGGGCCAAAAAUCUGAAAGCAUCAAUAGCUUUGUACUAUUGAUAGUAUUUCAACUUAGUUCUCUCUCUCUCUCUCUCUAUAUAUAUAUAUAUCAACAAUUUAUAAAGGAAAUAUUCUGAGAGAGAUCUACAUGCAGCAGUUUAAAGUCUAUUUGAUUUUAAGGCACAAAAUUAAUGUUGUAUCAUAUAUUUGGUGUAUGACAAAUCAAUCAUAUGCAUUUAGAUUAGGCCAGAUAUAUAUUUAGAACAGCUCUUUGUUUCAACCAAAAACGUGUGACGGAAAAAAGUAUCAACUAAUAAAUAUUCAAAGAAAGAUGCUUGCAGAGAAAACUCUCUCAUACAAAUGCGAACUAACUUUAGUGUGUGCAUAAAAUAUUAAAAGAUUAUUGGUUGAUCGGCUUAAGCUUUUAGAGUAAUCGGUUGUUUCGCAUUGCAUGUCUUGCAGGUCAGCAGCAUCAUCUUCCUUGAUUCCCCAGUAGAUGCAGGCUUCUCAUACGCAAAAAAGCAGGCAGGCUACGUAGCAGGAGACCUCAUAACUGCGCGCCAAAUCCUCGUCUUUCUUAAAAAAGUAAAAAAAAAAAAAAAAAAAAAAAAAAGAGUUGAGCUAGAAUACUAUCGAUAGCAAAUAGGCUCUAUUGUCAUCUAUUUGUUUUUUAUGAUAGAGCCUCCAAAUCGACGAUCUGCACCGUUGAACAUGAUCUAUAUCACUUGAAGUGUUUAGAAAUCAAAUUUCAAAUCUUUUCGACAUUAUUUGCCUAAUGAUCAAAGGUUUCAAAAUUUGUAAUUUUAAUGGUCGAUAUGAAUCGUUUUCUCGUUUAACGGCGUAAGGAUAUCCAAAAUUAAUUACAUUUUUGUUAGAAAUUUAUUUAAACUAUUUAAAACAAGAUCUAUACUCUUGAUCUUGAUUACAAGACUCCUAUCAUCAUUUUUUAAAGAAUAUUUAUUUUCAGCCAUUCAUUUUUGUGUCCACUCGAUGGAUAAGAGAACAAUAUUGAAAAUGUAUGAAAGUUGAUUUCUAAACACUUCAAGUAGUAUAGAUCAUGUUUAACGGUACCGAUCGUCGAUUCGGAGGAUCCAUCAUCGAAAACAAAUGGGUGGCAACGGAGCCCAUUUGCUAUCAAUGGUAUUCUAGCUCAACUCUCUCUCUCUCUCUCUCUCUCUAUAUAUAUAUAUAGAGCAGGGCUGCUGUGCUCUCAGGAGCAUGGGGGCCUCCGUGCUCCUGAGCCAUUUUCGAUGAUGAAAUAUUCGAAUCGACGAUCGACUCCGUUAGACUUGAUCUAGCGCAUUUGAAGUUUCUUGAAAAUAAUUUUUGCGAUUUUUUGAUAUUAUUUACCUAGCGAUUGAAAGGAUUCAAAAUCCAUAAUUUUUAAUGGUUGAUAUUUGCCGUUUUCAAGUUUAACGGUGUAGAAGUAUUCAAAUCAGAUGAAAUUUUGAUAGAAAAUUUUUUAUACUAUCUACGACAAGAUCAAUAUUUCUGAUCGAAAAUUUUAGUAUUAUAUCACCACUUUUUAUAGGAUUUUUAUUUUCAGCCGUUAAAAAUUAUUGAUUUUGAAUCCUUUCGAUUGCUAGGUAAAUAAUAUCAAAAAAUCACAAAAAUUAUUUUCUAGAAACUUCAAAUAUGCUAGAUCAAGUUUAACGGAGCCGAUCGUUGAUUCGAAAAUUCCAUCAUCGAAAAUGGCUCACAACAGCCUUGCUCUCUCUCUCUCUCUCUCUCUCUCUCUCNAAUUAGUUUUGACGUUAUAAUAGGAGAUACCACAUUUGGAAAAAUGUUAUAUAUGAGAGAUCUGCGUGAAAAAAAUGUAUGCAGAGCAGAUGGAUGGAACAUAAUAUGCUAAUUUAAUUAUGAUUGUCGCUAAUUUUCAUUACUUUUUUUAUUGUCUCCCUUAUUUUUGGUGGGAAAAAGAAAAAAAAAAUUUCUUUUUGCAUAUCUAAAAAUUUAGUAUAAAUCUUAUAUCUUACUGUCCAAGAAUUUAAACAACAUAUUCUGAGUCUUUAGUUAAAAAAAAUUAAAAAAAAAGUGAAAAGACUAAGUACAGAGUAAAAAAAAUGUAAGAUUUAUACCUAUACUUUUGGCAAGUUCCUACGCCAAAAUCAGUUAAACAUCGCUACCAAAGCUUUUGGCUUUAUUUGGUAUUACAAGCUAGCAUUUUUUUUAUAGUUUAUUUAUAGUUUGAUAGAAUUUGUGAUAUUUUUUGGCAAUAAAUGAAAAUUAUGAACUAUCCUUUUUUUCCCUUUUAAGGAAUGCUUUUUUCUUUUUUUUUUGACAUUAAGUCAGAUUGCAUUAUAAAUUAGUCACGACUAUGAGUAGAUUUUUUAUUUCCCAGCAUAUCUAACCAUGUAGAAUUUUUUCAUUACAAAAAAAAAAAAAAACAAUCCUAAUGUUUUUGCAUCCUAAUGUUUUGAUAUAUCAAAUUUCUCCCCAAUUUUUAUUUUCUCUCUUAUUCUAACUACCCAUCAAAAUUAACAAGAGCCGCUAUACUCUUAUAUAUAUAUUUAUCUUUUUCUCUCUAUAUCUCUAUCUAUAUAUAUAUAUAUAUAUAUAUAGUUGAGCUAGAAUACUCUCAAAAGCACCAAGUGAGGGGUACUUUUGAGUUUUUAGCCAUUGGAUGGAGAGAUAUAAUAAUAUUAUACUAAUCAUAAUAUUAUACUGAUCUGAUGUCACUGUCGCUGAUUCAUUAAGUAAUCGAACCACUGGUCGAAUCAGUAACACCUUAAACCUGCAGUUUGCUACAUAAUUCCACCUUUAAAAUACAUUGAAAGAGCUAUGUAACUCUUCAUUACUACACAUUUAUAUUGAAUCAAACAAAAUUACUACAAUGGCUAUAUUGAAAAACUUUUUUCCUUUUUUUUUUUUGGUCCUGCAGUGGUUGAGUGAUCACCCGGAGUUCAUCUCCAAUCCCCUCUACAUCGGCGGCGAUUCGUAUUCCGGCAUCACCGUGCCCGUGGCUUCGUCGGAAAUCGUUAAAAGUAAUUUCUUGUUACCCUUCAAUUAUUAGCCUAUAUGUACGUAUUUUAUGUAUGUUACAUUUGUUUAAGUAGAACAUGUCAAAAUUUUAUAGCGUGUUAUUUCUUAGAAAGGAAAAAAAGAAAACCAUGGUAGCUACAAUAUGUUAUGUGGUUUCUCCUAGAUAUUGUUUUAUUUUACUAUUCGCUGAAUCAUUUUGUUGCUAAAUUGAACAUAUUUUGUUAAUAAAUUUAAUUAUAUAUUAUAUACCUUUUUACAGGUAAUCAUGCUAGUGAUGGGCUGAAGCUUAAUCUCAAGGUUAAUGACUAAUUAAUCUCACAAAAAAAAAACAAAUAUUUGGGGCAAAAUUCAUAGUAAAACUUUUCAAAUCUUGUUCUGGUAUAUAUAUAUAUAUUGGGGACAUAAGAGUUUAUAGAUUUUUGGAUUUUUUUUUGACAUUUUUUCAGGGUUAUCUAGUCGGCAACGGAGCGACCGAUUAUCUCAAUUUCGAUGGUAACUCAAAGGUUCCAUUUGCUCAUGGCAUGGGGCUUAUAUCAGAUGAAAUGUAUGAGGUAAAACAAUAUCAAAUACUUAAAAAAGUUUUUGUAGUGCCAAGUUAAAUGUUUAUGUAUUAGCCAAGUGCUUAGUUGGAACAUUAAUUACUUAUUCUUAAUCUAAUCAAUCUUAUUCUUUGAGUUGUUUUAUAAACUUUGUUCUCUUGUUCCGAAUUUUAGGCCGCGAAGAACACUUGUGGAGGGCAAUACUUACUUCCACCUAAUCCCGAAUGCGCGAAAAAUGUUGAAACUAUCAAUGAGGUGAGAGAGAAGUUUCAACAUCAAUUGUUAGCUAUCCUCAAUUUGUAGCUAAAACAAAUUCUCUUUGUGUGUGUGUGUGUGUGUAUGUAUUUAUGUUUGAAUCUGCAGUGUUUGCAAGGCAUAAAUGUAGUCCACAUUUUGGAGCCACUUUGCGGUUUCGCGAGCCCGAAGCGCGAUGUAAUUUCCGCAGAUAGAAAGAAGCCAAUAGGGUACAAUGAGGAAGAGUUCUCACUACUGAAACUGGGCCUUCCGGUGGAGUGUAGAGUAAUGCUGCUUCUGCAAACUGAUCAUUUCUGUACCAGUUAUCACAUAAAAUAUCAUUUUUAUGACGGAAAAGACAAUGAAAUUUCGAUCCGAAUUCCUCUCGCAGGAUUCUGGAUACCGACUCUCGUAUGUGUGGGCGGACGACGGUGCUGUAAGAGAGGCUCUCGGCAUUCGUAAGGUACACAACAAGCACUAAAAUUUGAUAACAAAAAUGAUGAAUGUGAGUUGUUGUUGUUGUUGUUGUUGUUUUUGUUGUAUUCAGUGCAGAUUCUUUGUUUCUUUAGUUCAGAAAAUGAUUGUUUCAGCAUUAUCUGAUGCAAAAGUUUGAAUGGUGUGCUAUGCAGGGAUCAAUAGGUUCCUGGAUGAGAUGUAACUAUUCCCAAAACUACGCGAACGAUUUCACGAGUGUUAUCGAACUCCAUCGGAAUCUUACUGCUCAAGGAUACCAAGCUCUCAUAUACAGGUUCGAUCAUUUUCGCUGUCGGUACAAAUCUUCAUUCAUGUCAUCUUAUGCUGGCUUUUUCUCUGUUUCUUUGACAUGAGACAUUGCGUUGACGCAGCGGUGAUCACGACAUGGAUAUGCCGUUCGUGGGCACAGAAGCGUGGGUAAGAUCUCUCGGUUUCCCCAUUGUUGAUGACUGGCGGUCUUGGUGGGUUGAUGGACAAGUUGCGGGGUAAAGCUCCAAACUGAAUUUAAUCUUCUCCCGUGUAAAUCAGGCUUUAUUGGUAGAAUUAGAGCUUCUGCAAAAAUGUUGUUUUGAGUUAGAGCUUUUUUGGCCAAGGUUAUGCAAAAUCACUUGCUUUCUAAGGCCAAAUCCCAUCAAAGAAUCCAAUCAAGAGCAGCUACAUGCCCGGCAAAUUUACACGGCAAAUACUAACUUCGCCCUCAAAAGUGUAAACAAAACCUAAAAUAAGGGCUGUAAUUUAGAAUACCCUCUACAACUUUCUGCUUAAGCAAAAGUAAGAGCUUUAUAUUGGAGCUUCUGAUCCUGGAUUCUAGAAGCUUGUUUUUGCUUCUCGCCUUCUCUGACUGUAAAAACUCAAGAUUUUUAUCUACAGACACCAAUCUACUAUUUCUCGAAAUACAGAAGUUGUUCCGAAAGCCAAGCUGGACAAACGCUUAGGUUUCAACCUAGGAAAACAAGAAAAUAUUAGGAUUACACUUUUCACUCUGAUGACAUUUUACUUCUGGUUUCUCUCAGGUACACAAGGACUUACUCCAACAACUUCACAUUUGCCACUGUAAAAGUAAGUACUAGUGAUAAUCAAAAUAGAAGGAAGAUAAUAACACCAAGCAAAGAGUGAUUUUUUUGUUUUCUGUGUUCAUCUUUGAUACAGGGUGCAGGACACACAGCUCCAGAAUACAAGCCAAAGGAGUGCCUAGCAAUGGUCCAAAGGUGGUUUUCCAGUCUCCCUCUCUGAUGUCGGCGGAGACGAUGGCCGCAGAAGCGCCAUUUACAAACCUGGAUGUAGAAACUUAUACACAGCCUGGAUGUACACAGCUAGAAAUGAGAAUAUGAUACCACUAAAUUUUACAUUUGAGUUGGGUGUGAGCACCAACCAAUUGAAUGCUACACUUUUGCAGGUUCAGAUAGAAAUAAGUUCCUGUAUCUAUACAGUUUCAGGAAGCAGAAAAGAAAAAUAACCAUUACGGCAGCAGUUGGAUAACUUAUGCUUUUUACUUUAUCAAAAAGUUAAAAAAGUUGGCUGAUGAGUUCAGAAACUUGAGAUCAGCAUUGAGUUUAGAUAUUGUUUGGUAUUGUUAACAACAAAACUUUUUUUUUUUCCAACAGAUAUUGUUUCAGAUGAAAGGAUGGUGCAUUGCUCACAACCUCUGCAUCUCCUUUGGUUCAUUUGGCAACAAAAUCAAAAUGAAAAAUUAGUUACUUAUUGUUACCAGUUUUUAAGAUGGCAUUGCACAUCCCAUCGCAAACUAUCUAACAAUGACAUCACAAAUAACCGACCGUCCCUAGAGCAAGGGGCAAAGGACUCGAUGGUUGGUACCCGAGGCCCCAAAUUCGAAUUCUAGUUGAUUCACAUUUCCAGCUAAGUUUAUUUCUAAAUAAAAUAAACGAAGCGGGUAGCGUGCUACCUAUCUCUCAAAAAAACAAAAAAAAAAAAUGACACCACAAAUAAAUCUAUAUGUUGGCACAUCCUAUUGACACAAGGUUUGUGUUCAGAAACAGAUAAAACAAAGGCAACAAUAAUGAAUGAAAAGAACAUUUUUUUUAAAUAGGGGCCAAAUAUUUCAAAUGAAAAUUUUUCGAAAGAGAGAAAUAAUUAUCAAUAGUUAACAACUUACAAAUAAAUAUAUUUUUUCUUGCAGUCAAAGGACACAAAAAAAAAGGCCUAAAGUAUAAUAAUGAGCAACCAAAAAACACCUUCAGUGCAGUAUAAUUGACUAUACAGUAUAUAUGCUACAACAGACGCUGUGUGAAGCAGGGUAUGAGAAAGCACUUUUAUCAUUCUCAUUCUCUACAACUGCAAAGGAAACAACAGUUUAAACCCCGCGAUAAUCUACUUGUCAUGAGCUUCAUUCUUAGGAAGUAUGUCGUGCCUCCUUAAUCUGAAAUGAAGCCUUCUACCUGCAGAAAGAAAGGAAAAAAAAAAAAAAAAAGACUGAUUCAAUCAGCAUUCUGUAAUGAAAAGCUCCAGUAAUUAUAUUUUUGUUUGAUUGAUUAUAGAAAGUUGUAUGUUGAGUUGAAGAUGAAAUUUUUGAAAAAAAUAAGUUUUUAGUUUGGGACGAAAAAGAACCGAUAGGAGAGCUUACAAUGUAAAAGAAUGUGCAUUUAUUGAGCGAAGACUAUCAAGGAACUUAUGAAAGUAAAUUUUCAGAAAGAACAUACCUCGAGAAUUUCUUGAGAAGAAUUUCAAUAUCUCAUCGAUUAUUAUUACCUACAAUAUGUCCGCAUUAUGAUAAACAAGUGGUUAUGAACAACAAAAUUGAAAGGAAAAGUACACACGUUAUCUUUGACGAGCUUUUAGAAGAAUGCAAGAAAACUAAGACCUAAACUAAAAUCAUUUCCAUAUCAGCUAACUAUCAUAUCUGUGACAGCAUUUUUCGUGUCUGCCAGGAUAGAAAAGUUAGCUUUUUCGAAAUUGACUAGUAAGUAUAGUUUGGUCAGGUCUAGACCAGUGGGUUAACAUCUUUUGCAUUUUCAUGUGUUAAUUUUAGAAUUUAAUAAUAAAUUUAAUAUCCACCAUUGUGCAGUAAUAGCUAUUAAUAUUGCCGCCAGGAUUGCUCCUGAUAUAACUUACGAGUAGGGCAUUAAAUCAAAGUCUAAUGAGAGAGAAAUACUAACCGGAAAAGAGAGAUAGAGAACAAUCCUCCAUUCAGCCCAGGUUAAUGGUGUCACCUACAAGACAAUGAUUAUUACUUCGGAUUGGAAUAUUCUAUAAAUAUCUCUUAACGCCAAAUAGUUGUCUAAAGGACAGCUGCAGAAAAAGACGGAGGGUAACUUAACACUUUUGGUUCUCAACUACAAGAUGGAUGACACCUUGGCCCUCAAACUCUAAUUUGUAGAUAUUUCUAGCUUGGACUUACUAGAUUGUUGCAAUCGAGUCCGACAAUCCAAUUUAGUUGGUUGGAUACUAAUGUGCCGCUAAUGUGGCAGUAAUGUGGCAUUUUAGCCAUUGUCACGUCAUAGGCCACAACACAGCAACAUCAUAGCUACAUAAGUAACACAUCACCAUUUAGUACACCAACUUGUAUUGUGGGACUUAUUGCAUCAUCAAGUUAAAAAUUGCAACAAAUUAAAGCCUAAGGUCCAAAUUGUCACGUGACUCAAUAGUUUGAUGAUCAAAAGUGUAAUUUAGCCAAAUAAAAAAUGUUAAUAUAACUCAUGAACUAACACAGUUUGAAGGGUACUUACUGAGAAAAGAAUUGAUAAAGGUUCAAUAUACAAGAUCAAUACAUGGAGAAGCAUGGUGAGAAUUAUUGAUCCAACAAGCCAUAGGUUACUCCAUGGAGGAAUUACACUGAAAAUUAAAUCAUAUAGCAAAUUGUCACUUACAGUUCAUGGAUUUAGUGCAUAUAUGGAUGAGAUUAGGAUAUUUGCAUGAAUUUACUGUAAUCAAAACAGAAUAGUUAGUUCAGGAAGGUUGAUGCUUUCUAUGAAACCAUGGAAGCAUGAGAUCAAUUCAAGAAAUGUAUAAUGGAGGAUGUACGAACCAAUCAUAUAGUGCUUACAUGAUCAUUCUUUAAGAAAUUAAACUGGAAAAAGCCAAAAGAGUUUUUCUAAACAGUAGCAAUCCACCGCACAAACAGAAAAAGCAUAAAGAGUUUUUUUUUUCCUCAAUAGCUGCACCCACUGAUCAAUUGAUAGUAGAAAGAACUAUGAUAAAAGCACUCACUGCGUCCAAAUUUAUUCAUAAGAGUGUAUUUGAAAUGCAAGCAAGUGCAAGGGAGAUAUAGAUUGAUUACUUACAGGAGAGAUUGAUUCUCACUCAGGUUAUUUAAAGCAUUAAACAUCUCAACAACAACAAGCACGGUCAUCGACACAGUUGAGGGAUGACGAUCAUCAAAUAUACUGCAUGGAUAUGGAGUUUGUCUUGUUGAACAGGAAUCAAAGUUUACCUGACAUUCCAUAAAAUUCAAAAAAAGGGUAAAAUUUUCCUACAAGAUCAGUUAAAACUAAAAAUUAUACAAGAAGCCAACAUUAAAUUGAAAAUUAAACAAAGAUUUCAGUGAAUCUGCCAAAACAAAAAAAAAAAAAGAAAAAAAAAAAAAAGAAGGUUAAGCCAUAAAAGUUGAAACCAAGCAGUAAAUGAGCUAAAUGGCAUUGUUACUCAACUAUCAGACAGAGUUGUCCUAAUUACAAAUUUGUCGUUGUCUUUGUUAUUGACAGCAUGUGAAUAAACCAGAGGGGCACAAUUUACCAGUUCAUUAUACGGCAAUUUGGGACCAUCAUCAGAAUAAACAAACCACCAAACAAACCCCGCAAUAGUAGCAAGGCCAACAUAAGCUGUACAAUUGUACAAAUCAGUGACUAAGUGAUAUUUAAGAGGAAAUGAAAUAACUACUAACAUCUAAAAGUACACAACACGAGAACGUACCUCCUAUAACCAAAUACCGGAAAAAAAGCCAUCCAGUAACUACAGCUUCAUUAACCUGCAUAAGUAGUUAGAACACUUAAGAGCAACAAAUGAAGUAGUUUCUCCAGAACUAAAUGUCAAUGUUAUAUCUCCUCAAAGAUAUUGAUCCCAAGUUCACGAAUAUGGAGAACAUUUUAUAAGCAUACAACCUUUUGAAUGAAGCCUAUAGACUAGACCACUGGGAAGAUACUCGAGUACUAAAAAUUUAAUAUAAGCCAGCGCAGCUUUUUAUGACAUAAUAAUCUUCGAGGAAAAGAGGCUUAAGGUCAAGUGAUAAAUGAUUGCUUGAUUUGGAUUUGCCAAAUUUCUCUUUGACAUCAUGCUUCUCCAAUUUCAAAGUCAAACACUCGAUUAUUUUGCUUGGAUAACUUGUAGUCACUCAACAAUAUCAAGUCCAUGCUAUUCAGUACUUUUAUUUUCAUUCUUUCAUUCCGCUCCUUUACAAUUUAUAUUAUGAAGUUCAUGCCAGUGCUUAGCUAAGAACAAAGGGUCACCACCUGAAAAAAAACCAUAAUACUACAUUGCAAACUCUGAUAUGGCAUCAGGGUCCACAGAAUCAUAAACAUAAAACUAGGCCAUUCAGGGAUUUAACAGACUCUUCUUGUGUUUGAAAUGUUUUAACGUUCGAACUAUCACAAUAAUCUAUCAGUUAAUCACGUUGAGAAACGAGCAAGAGGUGAGAAGUUUGUUAAUUCACACAACUGCUUGGAUUUUGGACUUUAAAUAGUAACUCGGCAAAUCAAAAGUCAUCAUGCACCAGACUGAUGCAGUUCAGCUUCAAAGUAAUUGGCAACUGAAAACACUAAAGAAGGUUUUCAUAUGCUCAAUGUAGAAACAUUACAUUUUUUGUUCAAAUCCAUUAAUCAAUACCUUACGAGGCUUAGCUGCCAUCACAUUGCAAUCAGGCUUGUUAAAACCAAUAGCAGUUGCAGGCAAACCAUCAGUAACUAAAUUCACCCAGAGGAGCUGGACCUGCAAUUACAUCAAAUAUAAGUAAAAGUGAUUCUCGCACAAUGCUAAGAACUAAUCUGUCUAACUAAACUAAUUAUACUCAGAUGCUUUAGACAGGAAGAUGAGAAGAUGUCUCAGAGACCAUUUUUCAUUAGAGAUGAUAAGGAUGUAACAUUCCAUAACACUUCUAAGAGAAUAAAGAAUUUCUUUUUUAUAGCAAGGGCCAAGUUUGCCCUGGCUGGAGCUUUGGUGUUCAGUGGAGCUUCUCAAAGAAGCACUAACAGCUUGUUCAUUAAAAUGUAUCCCAAGAGUUUUCUGUUGCAGCAGAAGAAGAAGGCUCAACUUGGAGAUCCUCUUUGGAGGUCCAGAUGCUCAUUUCAGCUUCAGGCCAUAGAAAACAGCUAAACACACGAGAACUUCUUUAGAAAUACUACAGGAUGAAAUAAUUGGAUAUAAGGGUUUUUCCUUGGUGAUGAAGCUAGCGAUAGGGACAUAAAUGAAACUGUUGGCUAGCGAUAGGGGCAUAAAUGAAACUGUUGCUGAAGAAAGAGAGCAGUAAAGAGAAAAUUAUGCAAGUUGCUCAGACAUAUGAUUACAGCUAGAAAAGAGAAACUAGAAAUUGAAAAAGAAAAUUAGAAAUGUUUAAGAGCUUACAGGUAUUAGCGUGUCAGGCAUCCCAAGCACUGCUGCCACAAAAAUACAAACUACUUCUCCAAUAUUCGACGAUAUCAUAUAGCGGAUAAACUGCUUAGUAUUAUUAUAUAUAGCUCUUCCCUCGGCAACAGCCUAUAGUCAAAUGGUAGCCAGUCGCCACAAAAAAGUUCAGAAGAGACAUAUUUCACAAGAUCAAAUGGUAGCUAGUAUCUAAGUUUGAUAAAAGGCAGCCAUUCAGAGAUCGGAAAAAAGCAGCUUACAGCAACAAUUGAAGCGAAGUUGUCGUCAGCCAAAACCAUAUCCGAAGCACUCUAGAAAUUUAGAAGAAAACUGAUUAUUAUGUUCAAUAGGAGGCAUUGUCUAUUACAUCCUCACAAACCCAAGACCCAAUUGAAAGCAUACACCAAAGGUAAAGGACUAAAUGCAGAAAACACCCCUGGCAAUAGCCCCCUCAAUAUUUGGACAAUUACUAGUGAAGACUUAAAAAUGAUAUUUCCACCAUAAUGGGGUGCAAUGGGCAUUUCAGAUCCUAUUUUAAAAGUACCUAACAGUUCCUAAACAAAACAUGUAAGAGAGGGUAAGUGCUAAAGGCUAAACACUUAAGAGGCCUAAUUAUAGAUUUUUGCAUUUCAUGAAGGAAAAAGUACAAAUGGCACUAUUUUCAGGGCAGUUUUCUGCAAUUUAACCUAUAAAAUAGAGAAUGAAUUAAGUGGAACCAGAAUCUAAAAUAAAAAUAGUUUCCAUAACAUGAAAUCACAUUCACAUUUGAGAUGUAUAACGAGACUAAUGAUCUACUUAAUAUUACUACAAAGUAAUGCCAAAUAACAAGAUAAAGUUUAUCAAUCUACAUUGUCUAUAGGUGAGUACUGAACAAGAAGCAACAAACUGAACUAGACAUGCUAAUAUGAAGCAUACAUACCUUAGCAACUGCAGUUCCAGAUCCCAUUGCUAUUCCUAUGUCUGCUUUCUUCAGUGCAGGUGCAUCAUUGACACCAUCACCAGUCAUUGCAACCUUUUACAUGAAGAGCAUAUACGUCAUUAUCUAACAACCAGUCUCAUAGAAAGCACUAAGAGCUCAACGGCUGCAUAACUUUUUUAAAAAUAGUAGAAACAUUGGCAGCGCAGAGAAAUAGUAAAAAUUGCAUUGAUAGCCCCUAUUCUCUUGGCUUUAUUUAAUUGCAUCGAUACUUCCUAAACUCUUUGCUAAUUUCCGCUUGUCCUAAGCCUUUUAAUUAACCAGUCCCCAAACCUAUGUGUUUCAUUAGAAUCCUCCCAAUCAACUUCUAUUAGUGGGACUGACUGGAAAACCAACGCUGCAACCAAUCCUGUGACAAUGCGAAAUUGAGAGUCCUCUUUCAACAUUGAAGAGUAAAACUAGAAGCAAAAUAGUCUGUUUGAGGCUCAUUCUCAAAUUUCGAGAAAGGUCUAAAGGAUACAAGUGGCAAGCAGUCAGUCACACUAGAGAAGAGUUGACAAGAUGGACAAUAACGAAACAUUUACGUAAGUUGGGGGAAUAUAAUGCAUAAAUAAAGAUCAAGAACUAAAGUGAGACUUCACAAUGAGUUCAGACACCAGUAUGUUAUUUAACCAUGGAAACAGAUUGGUUAUUCAGAGUUAAAGAAAUCCAAAUUUUGAGAUCUGAAGUUCAAAGUACGUCUAAUUAUUCAUUCUAAACAGGCAACUAACAAAAAAAGCUCUCAUCCCAAAAUAUUCCAAUCAGCUUAAUGAAAAUAUUUCUAGAGAACCAAUUAGUCUGCAGAUGCAUCAAUGCAAGCGAUAAACCCAACUCAAAGAGGCUUACCACUUCAUUUUGAUUUUGCAAAGCUUCGACCAGCAUCUUCUUGUGGGAAGGUUCAACCCUGUCAUCCAAUUAUAUCAUCUUGAGCAAGAACAAUUUUAUGUGAAGGUUUCUGAAGUUACCCAAAAAAAAUUUAAAAAAAAACAUGUAAUUGAUUCCACUUGAUAAACUAUGCAGCUGAAGAUAAACCAUAUAUGACGACUGAACUCGCAGAACAAAAAAAUAACCCACUAGCAAAGGAUAGAAAAUGCUUGGCAGAUCAUUUCUAUGAUCAUUUCUAUGUACAGUUCUGAUAUUUUUAGAAACAACAUUACAAGGUGAAGGUCCAAUAUCAAGCAGUUCUUAUGAAAGCCAAAAAAACAAGAGGAAAGCACAUGAAUGAACAAAAAAUAGAGGAAGUCUUUGGUAUAAGAAUGUACAUUUGAUAGAUUCCAUACUGCUGUGUAGGGAAAACAGGACUGAACUGAAAUUUUCAGCUUUCAAAUAUUUGGAACUGAAUAAACAGAAUAACACUCAAAAACAAUCCAAUGCAAACUGAAAUAUUUAGAUUCCAUUCGAUCAGUUCAACCAAUUUGGACCUAUUCAUUGUAAGGCUUGCUGCCAAAAAUUCUGAUGGAUUUUAACAGUUAAAUUUUCAUACUUAUGGCCAUAUUUGAGUAUAAUAUUCAUUAGAUUGGUAUUCAACAGCUAUUAUUAUGGCUAAUAGUUUUAUAUAUAGCAACACUAUUGUUCACGAUAUUGGUAAAGCUUAGAAUCUAGUAAAAAUGAAAACACGGAUUCACUUUAUUCCAUUUAUUUUUAUUCACUAUGGUGCUUUCCCAAACCUAAUAGUUGAAUCUUACUUUUGACUUUCCUCGCAAGAAAAAAUGCUUCAACUUUACCAAACCAAUUCUCACUGGUUCAUUUUAGCAAUUAGGUUGAUUAAAUAAUGAUUACUUCAUCCCAAAUCAAUUUCAGUAAUUGCUUAUGAGGUUAUUUGAAAAGCACAACAACCUGAACAAAGAAGAGAACUUAAUUACUGAUUCCAAGAAUAACCAUAAACUUAAGAUAUGAUAGACAAUUAGUGAACUUUUCAGAAAAGAAAGAACAAAUGAUAUUUUGGAGGUUACGAUGGUAUAAAGACAUCGUAUUUCGAAAAAAGAUGAAGAGUUUGGCACAUAUGCAUGAAAUGUUUAUGCUACCUGGUAAACAGUUCCAUCCUUUGCAAUGCAAUUGUCCGUUGCAUAGGUGGAAGUUGUUCAAACUCAGAAGCUGUGUAAGAAUACCCAGUAAAAUCAUCUAAGUGCUCGAAAGCACCAAUCUGUCGACAUAGAGAUUCUGCAGUAGACUACUAUAACACUAAAUUAGUAUUUUCCAGUAGAAAAUUAGUAUUACAAUGCUAAUAAAUAAUAAGGAAGAUUAAGGAGUCAGUAACCUUGUUAUCCCCAGUGACAACAAUAACACGUAUUCCAGCAGCCAUACAUGACAGCAUAGCAUUCCGCACUUCCUCCCUCGGAGGAUCAAGCAUACCAACCUACAGAAAUUUAUUUAUCACAAAAGAAAAAAAAAAUGUUGGAGAACUUCAUCAAUAGAACUUAAUCAAUCAUAAUGAAAGAAAGUUAUUAAAAGAUAAAAAGAUGUCAAGGAAAAUUAAAGUGGGGGGCAAAAACUAUUCAAAGGGUGAGCACAGAUACACGUGAGUGGCAUAAGAUAGGAAGCAUACCAAUCCAAUGAACGUAAGAUUUGAUUCAUCUUCAUAGGAAAGAGUUUGCUGACCCGUUGGCAUCCGCUUUAGUGCUAAUGCCAAACAUCUUAGGGUGUCUUUUCCAGCAAAACUGGACAUAAAAUGGCAUUUAUCAAAUUACAAAAUAAGAAAAUUUAACAUAUGAUUGUGACACGUGUAGACAGCUAUGAAAAGUAGAAAAAUAAGCAAUAUACUCAAGAGAACAAAUUAAAAUUUCACUUCAAGAUGACUUUAGCUCAAUUUAAAUCUUUGCAUCCUCUUAUUUUUCCGGAUCUUGUGCUUUUGCUUCCCAGGUGAUAUUUUCUAGGGUAUAGUCAUUCACAAUUCAAACUGGCAAGGAAGAGGUGAAUAUACGAACUUGUUAGUGAUGACUUCUUAAACCUUCAUGGUUUUAGCUUUAGAGCUCUGCCAACACCUUUGAAACCACAAGCAUCUUACUAUAAGUAACUAUCUACGUAAAAUAAGAGUUCUACACGAAUCCUCACAAGAGGAAUUUAACCGUAGAGAACACAUGAUUUUAGGUCUUUCCCAGACAUUUGCUAAAACUAGAACAUAAGAGUCGAUAUUGUGCAUAUAUUGAUUGUUUACACAUUUCAAACUCUUUUAAGUGUCAAGAUGCAGACUCGUCAUGAAAGUGAUGAAAGCAUGACCUUAGGAAAGAGAGAGUGUAUGACACCUUAUCCAGAAGCCCAUUUUGUACAGGUCAAUAGGUGGGAAUUAUGUAUAUACUAUAUAACCACAAGGUAGGUCUUGAAGCUUUUAUAAGAACCAAUGCCAAAUCUCAGAAGUUUUGAUAUUUUAGCAUUAUGAAUCAAGAAAAGAUGAUAAUAGAAACAGCCCAACAGAAGAUGUCUUCAGAGCAAAAACCAUAAAUAACCAAGCUAAGCUCUAAAAUUUUGCAUUAAGGUAAAAUGUUACUUAUGAUAUUGAGACCUUAUUCACACUAACUAGUUAAAAUUAGAAAUGAGAGAUUUCCACCACAAGUCCAUUAAACUGAACCUUUCAAUUAAAGAAUUCUGUAUCCAGGUUACAUCAGAAAAAUUAAUGGAUUUCAAGUCAACGACCCUCAAUAAUAUAACGUGGGGCACAACCAGCAUAUUUACAAAAAAAUAAAGAGAUUCCAGAAAGUACAAGAUACAAAGAAUACCAACAAUGGAUAGUAAUACUAGUCUCAUGGGACCCGUAGCAAACCAGUGCACUAAGAUACAGGAGAGAAAAUACAGAAAUUUUAUAAAAAAAGUCUAUAAAAAGUGUUAGGGACAAAAAUGAACUACAGGACCAUAAAAAACCUAACCUAAAAUCAGAAUAACAGAAAAAAUAAGAUCCAACUAAAAGCAACAUAAAACAAGGCAAUCUACUGUCAAACUAAACUAACAAAGCAUAAACAGAAAUGUCUAAGGUCUUCGAAAAGGAAAUUACAGAAUUUAAAAUGCUAUAUUUGUGUAUGAAAAAGCAGAUGAUAAGCAUACCUUUGGAAUCUAGCUUCUAACUCAUUACGGAUAUCGGUAGUUAAUGGUACAGAAGAACCAUCAUCAUUGCACAGGAUAUGCGAGCACCUUAUUAUUAUGCUUUCUGGAGCACCUUUUGAGAACAUAAUUUCUUGCUGCUUUCUACUACAAAGGACACUCAUCAUUUUGCGGUCACGGGAAAACUCCAAAACAGAAAUCUGUUGAAAAAAUAUAAAAAAAGAUAACAGAUGAGUGAUUUUUGUUAAAAGAAAAUUACGUUCCACAAAAAGUAAUGAGAAAAACAACAUAUUUAGAAGAACUUGUCAGCAACAUGUACAAGGAUGACCACUAAUGACUUGCAACUUGCAAGUUUGCAGCUAAUAUAUUUCAUCUCAUGUUUAUCUAAAAGACGGCCAGUUUUGAGAAACCUCGGUUAAAACAAAAACGACAAAAGGCAGCUGUGAAGCUAUUUAUCACAAUAACUACAAGAGAUUUAACCGACAGAGAUUAAUGAACUAAUUUUAAGAUAGUUCGGCCUCUUUGUGAAACCUUUAACUAGACAAAAUAAUAAUAGUUUAAAGCAUAUGUGUAACUUAGCAGCUAAAAAACAGCGCCAUGCAAGAUGCUCAAAGAAUAAGUUAAAUAUGAUAACUAAGCGCUAAAUAUAUUUUGGAAUCCAAUGUCACGAUAUAAAAAUAACCUUUUUGAACUGAUGCUCCCAAUAAUGGUUGCAAUAUGCCGCGCGUUCAUGCUUACUUAACAUGUUUAGAGCCGAAGGCAUAGAAUCAAAACCAGGAAGCCCAACCUGAUAAAAAAAAAGAUUAUUGAAAUAUCUGAGCUCAAUAAUUCUAAGUGAAAUGGUACAGAUUGCAAUAAGAGUUGAUCAUCUCGUUUGUCAACUUACCUUUUCCACCAGAACACGUAAAGCAACUUCAGUAGACUCCCCAAUCUUUUCAUAAGCUUUCUUAUCAGGAUUGUAUUGUAGUGUGGACUCAUUACAAAGAGCUGAACACAUUGCUAUGUGAAGAAGGCACGGAAAUUGGGCAGGAAAUUCGAGCUGCGAAAUGCCAAAAUAUUUUUUUAAAUAAAAUUAAAAAUAGCAUAGCUUAGGAAAACACAGCUUCACAUUCUUGAACGGAAUUGGUCAGAAAUAACAGGGUAAUAACUAUUUAACGACUUACGACUCAUCAGUGUUUCAAAGCAAACAGGACAACAUCUUACCCCAAAGAAAAAAAGCUAACAUGAUGGAAAAAACUGCAUUUACAUCCGGAUUAUUUAAAAAAGCAACAUUAUUAAUUGAUUACCUGCAUUCCUGUAGCAUCAAAUAUAAGUCCCUCGGGAGAAAACGUAGUUCCAGUAACAGAGUACUCAUCAGUGAUUGGACUUCGAUGCACAGAUCGGACGACACAGACCUAGAAAAUCUAAGAAAGUUAUUUGUCACAAGCCACGAAUGGGAUCAGACACUUUAUAAAAGUAUUCGAUAUUGUAAUUACCAAUUAACUUGUAAUGUUAACCAGAUAACAGCAAUUAUAUAAACUUAUUGUAAGAGGACAUAACACAGACCAGACAAGGUUUAAAAAUUCAAUGGACACAGAGCAGCUAAGGUUCAACAUUUCAACAAGGCUUUAAAUAUAAUAAGACUAAUACAUCAAGAGAGAUUCAAAAAUUUCUUGAAACAUUAAGUACCUCACACUGCAUGAACAUGCAUUUAAUGCGUACGGCUAUUGGAAUGAAAUACCUUUGCCUCACAGUUCCUCAUAUUCAUAUUAUCAAAACAUAACUAUACUUUCAAAGCACGUGACCCAAAAGAAAAAGGGAACAAACCAUGGUUGAGAAGACUUUGAAUGACUUCUCAUGAACCUAUUACAUUUUGGAUCAAGAAUAUUUUGACAAAGAGUAAUGCUAUACUUACAAAAAAAUUGUACAACGUUUUACAAAUUUGCUUAUGUGGCCCUAUUUAAUUGGUAAAAGAAUAUCAUUCACGAGGUGAUUGUUGUAAUUCACAAGGCAAAGAAUAAAAUCUAACCACUAAAUCUUAAAUUUUGUAAAUUGUUGUAGAAGUUGUUUGUAAGAAUAGUAUUUUCCUUUGACAAAGCACAUCAAUGAUAACUUUUAAGACCACUGAUUUUGAAUCUUCAUAGGGUAUUAGCUUAUAGCCUUUUGUUGAUUAAUGAUGCUUCCAUGUUAGUUAAUCACCUGGGUCAAUUGAUUCUUCGAUUUUGCUCCACACUUUUAUGACUUCACAAGAACCUGCUAAUCUUGGACCAAGAAAAUUUUGACGAUGCACGGCAAUGCUUAAUCUUAAGAUCACUUGAUUUUGAAUCUUCAUACUCUUUAUAGCUUUAUGUUGCUUAAUGAACCUUCUAUAUUAAUUAAUCUUCGGUGAGAUUUUCUUUUUAUAUCAAUAACUCCCUCGAAUUUUCAUUAGAGUAUUCUGGUUGAACUUUUAAUGCUUCCUAUGAAAAAUAAUCACACAUUGAUACUUUUUUCCUGCUACAUUAAUAAUCUGUUUCACAAAUGAUGUGACACAGACUAGGUAAAAAGGGUCCUCCACUACAUGCCAACUUAUGAAUGUAUCAACCACAUAGAACUAAGAUAACAGAGUAUAAUAAAUUAGUAAAUUUAACAAAUUUUCAUCUACAAUAAUGUCAUUAUGGAAAUCUCACAAUAGGUGGGAAGAAACAAAAAUUGCUAACACAGGAUGAAGUGACUGCAUUGCAAGGAAAAGAAAGAAAGUAAACAAUCAAAAUUUCAAAAUUGAAAACACAUAUUUUGGAGCUACAGGAAUAUAUUUAAAAUUCACAAAAGAUGAUAAUGAAGUUUCAAACGGAAUUAAAUUUCAUGCUACAGAAUCUGCUUUGGCACGAUAAGGAUAAAAGAAAAUAUAUCAGCAAAACUUAACCUAUACAACAUCCAAAAUAAAGUAUUCACCUUUGACACGGACAUCAUGUUUGUUGUAAGAGUACCGGUCUUGUCGCUACAAAUAACCGUUGUGCAUCCUAAAGUCUCGACUGAAGGUAAAGACCUUACAAUAGCAUUUAGGCGAGCCAUUCUCUUCGUACCCAGUGCCAGGCACCUAAUCAAAAACCAAAUAAAUCAUAGUUAGGUAAAGUAAAAUGUAUGUGUAAUGAAACUGUCAUACAAGCAUAAUGAGAUCAAAAGAGUACAAUUAGCUUAAUAAACCUACUCCCAAACUGUUAAUCUCUUGAUUUAGUAUAAUGUAAUCUUGAAGUUUGCUGGCCUAGAGAAAACACAAAGAAUUUGAAAUAAUUGCUAUAAAUGUUUUAAACAUUCAUUCUAGGGUGAAAAAUGAGGUUUUGGCACCUCAGUAUCAAACUCUCACAUGAUCCCUUCAGGACAUCAAAAAGAAAUAACAGGUAGAACUCCCCCAGGAAGAAUCUAGGUUCCCAUAGCAGUUGUUAAAAGAUCAAAAUCUAACUGGUUUUCGGCCAUCAGUCAUUAUGAAGUGAAUUAUUGCCGCUACAUUACAAGGAAUAACACUACUAGAUGCCCUUGAUGUGUGGAUUCAACUUGAAAGAAUCCUAAGAGGUGAUUCUGGCUUACAUGAAUGCUUUUAUAUACACAUUCAAUGAGAAUCGCCAAAUCAAUAAUUAUCUAUAAUGAAGCUCCAGUUUUAUCAUUGAAAGAUAAGAAAGAACAAAGUUGAUGCCGAGAUUCCUCACCUGCAUAUAAGAGACCAAAUUACUAAUUUCCUAUUUCAUCAGCUUUCAAACAGAAAGGGUUUUUGGUUGCAUAAUAAGAGAAAGAACCCUAUAUAAACAGGAGGUUCUACCUUAAAUUAAAUGAAAUGAUUUGUACAUUAUGUGUUAGAUAAAUAAUCAUCACAAUUAUACUCAUUACAAUUACCAACAUCUAUCCCCAAAAUUCACUUAAAUUAUUUUUUCUUGAAACUUCAGUACAGCAUGUUUUGACAAGAGGACUCACGUAGUCACAACAGCCGGAAGCCCUUCAGGAAUGGCAGCAACUGCAAGAGCAACGGCUAUCUAAAAGACAGGAAACAGUUUAAGUAACUAACAGGCACAAACACAGUCAGAAGAAGGGAAAGGGGGAAGAAAGGUGCAUUAUUCGAAAGAAAUUAGCAAACAGUUUGUAAAAGAGAAAAACCCAAAAUUCACAAAUGAACAAAACAAGAAGCAUCAAAUAAUUACAAAAUAAUGCACAAUCAACUAUGCAGAUUAUAUAACUAAAAAACAAAAAAAUCCAACACUUGAAAUUUUCCCUUUCUCAUAGAAUCUACUAUCGCCACAGCAUAAACAUCCUACGAGGCAUUAUUAAAUAACAGAAUAUGUAGACAAUAUAGGUUACUGAAUAAGUAGCUUGCAAUGAAGUUUUUCCUUUGUCGCCGGUUAGCUACAUUACAACAAUAAUUACUAUCUAUUAACUUCCGAGGCUGAGAGAAGGGAAACAGAAAACAAAGAAAGUUUCCAUGUCAGGACCAUCAAAGGACCAAGUACUGCACAGCAUAUUCUGUGCACAACAACAUUAGGCUGUACUCUUUUAUCCAAAGUGUUACAACGUUAAUACUAGUAUAAAUCCACAUGAAAUGCACUACAACUAAUUGUAUGAUAUUCCAGUUGACAACCCAAUAUGACAGAUCAGCUAUUCAGAAUGUAGCACAACCUAACAACAAUAAAGAGCUUCUUGAAAAAGGAAUUUUUCAUACUUGCAUUCUUAUGUACUGCAUCAAUAAAAAAAAAGCCUAAGAUGAAGUUACAUAUUUAUCGAAUUAAACAUAAUACAUGAUAGUUCCAAGGAAAUGUACAUCACUCUCAUUAGUAUAACAAUAGUAGUAUGGAAAUGGUAGCAAAAACGAUGAAAAAACACCUUGAAGUAAUGAAUAGCACCCCUCAAAUAUCCACCAUGAGAAGGAUCGUGGAAAUGGCCAAUAUUUACAACCCAAACAAGAAUACAAAUCCCUGCAAUGAUCUGACAAAGCGUAUGUCAGCUUUUCAUUAGCCUUCAAUGACAAUUAGGAUUAUGACACAUUAAUAUUAAGAAAUAUUCACACUACUUCGGUAUAAACACCUGCAAUUUGAAUGGGCACAUUUAAACACCCAUGUCCAAAGAGCAAUUUAUAUAAAAACAUGAAAUAUAGCACUUUGAUUUCCCAGAUUACUAUCCAGAGGUGCAUGAUAACAAACUAGAGGCAGUUGAGUUCUCAUGUAAGGUGGUCUUGACUCUUGAACAAUUAUUCAGUUCCUCGGUGCACUUUUGGCAACUGUGAUUUUUCACAUACUAGCACUUAAAUGAUAAAAAAACGUAGUAUAGUAGUUUAAGUGAUAAUUGAUAAAUGACAAAGAAUCAUAGGAAGCUACCUUCGCCAAAAAAGUACCAAAUUCAUCAAGUUUCUUCUUUAAAGGUGUUGCCUCCUGCAUAAUCGUAAGAAUAUUAUCAGCAGAAAGAAUCGUUACUAUCAAGUAUCAACAUAUAUAACAAUGCUGUGAGCAUGCAUACUGCAGAACCUUUAAAAUUAAAUGACAAGAUGAUACUCGAAAAUAUACAAGAAUAGAACUAGAAAAGAAAUACCAAGCAACAAAAAUCACAAAAUCUGACAAUUAAAACAAAGAGGCAAACUUAAGAGAACAGACGGUUCUUACAUCUUCCGUUCUUAACAUUGCAUCUCGAAUGCUUCCCAUUGCAGUAUUCGAGCCCACACCAACAACAAUGGCUCUAGCCCGACCAGCUACAACCACAGUACCCUGGAUAAUAAAAGUUUCAUAUCGUCACCGUAUAAGAUGAAACAAUCCAAAAGAAAUGAUUUGGGAGCUAAAGCACAAAUGCAUCUGAAAACUAGAUAAUAAUUUUUUUUAUGUGAAAGUAAUGAAUAGAUAAUUUGUGUUUCAGAUAAAAGAUAAAAUGCACUUUUUUCUGCCAAGUGAACCAUAAGUUGUAUUUUCUGAUAUAGCAACUUGACAAAGAGUAGGAAAGGAAAAAGAAACAUGUAUCACAGUGUCCUAUAAAUUCUCCUCUAAUUUUUUUUUGCUUAUUUCCCACCAACUUAAAAGGACUAAAAGCAUGUUAAAAAUGAACGAAGCUCUUUGCAGCAAAAAUAAGGUUCGUUCAUUGCCAAACCUUACUUCUUUCCAGUCCUACAUAGGAGAAUUCAUGAAUUGAAGAAAACCUGUAUCUUUCUCACUAACUUGUAUCCCAGCCAUUAAAUGUGCUUUCUCUGAGUCAUAUGAACUUUUGCUUGUGAACAAUCAUUUCUGUAAAGAAGUUAGGCUAAAUCCCACAGAUCAUUAAAAUAAUAACUAGACUUCUCACAAACAAUAGUCUUUCUACUUUACUGUAAAUUUUUAUUGGCUUCAGGUUUUCCUUUUCAACUGGCUUGCCUCUAUGUUAUUUUACUUAAAAAGUAAUAUCCAUAAAAUCCAUAAAACAAAAGAUAAUGCAAAUAAAAUAUUUCUAUAAGCAAUCAUGAAAACCAACAAAACAGAGAAGAACAUAAAAGUACAAGUUUAAGAGUCUUCUAAGCAUUCAGAGUGAACAGGAAAUAAUAGGUUAUGAUUUUAGUAAACAAUGCUCACAGUUCAUGUCUUGUCCCUAGGGGUGGAAACGAGCCGAGCUCGAGCGAGCUUAUGUCGGCUCAAAUUCGGCUUGAAAUUAAUUUCGAGCCUAAAUCUAGGCUCAAGCUCGGCUUGAAAUUAAUUCGAGCCGAGCUCGAGCGAGCCUAAUUUUGGUCGAGCGAGCUCGAGCUCUAAACGAGCCGAUUGAAAUUCUCGACAUUAUAUAAUCAAUAGUUUAAUUUUUUAUAGAACAUUACGUACCAAUUUGAUGCAACAUGUCCAAUAGUUCAAAAUACAAAAUAAUUGCAAGAAAUAUGAGCUAGGGUGACUGCCUGACCGGUGAGGGUCAAAGAGAGAGAGAGAAGAGAGAGGAGAAAAAAAUAGGAAUUGUAAAAUUUGAAUGUUAUCAUGUUUAGGUUAUGUACAAAAGUGAAAGUCUGAAAGAGAGAGUGUGUUAUGUAAAUUUAGAAUUGGGUUCAAUUGCACCGGUUGUACUUGUUGGGUUUAUUUUAUGGCCAACAAUAAUAGCCAAUUAAUUAAAGCCUAUAUAUAAUUAAAAUACAUUAUAUAUAUAUAUAUAUAUAUAGUAUAUAUAUAUAGUAGGGCUACUGUGCUAUUAGGAGCACAGCAGUCCUUGUGCUCUAAGUUCUUAACCGCCCAUCAAAUUUGAUGGGUGGUUAGAGUGAAAGAGAGAAGAGAAAUUGAGAGAAAUUGAGUUUCUCAAUUUCUCUUCUCUUUGAAUUUCCUUCAAUUUCUCUUCGCUCUUUCACCCCUAACCAUCAAUCAAAUUUUGAUGGACGGUUAAGAACUUAGGAGCACAAGGUUUGCUGUGCUCCUAAUAGCACAAUAGCCCUACUAUAUAUAUAUAUAUAUAUAUAUAUACUAAUUAUGUAUAUACUAUAUAGUACUAUAUAUAUAUAUAUAUAUUCGAGCUUUUCGAGCUUUUCGAGCCUAAUUCGAACGAGCCGAGUAAUACUCAAGCUCGGCUUGAAAUGAAUUUCGAGCCUUUUAUUUUGUUCAAGCUCGGCUCAUUUAAUUUCGAGUCGAGCUCGAGCGAGCCGAAUAUCGAGCCGAACACGAGUCGAACGCGAGCCGGCUCGCUCGUUUGCCAGCCCUACUUGUCCCUUUAAGAGAUAAAUUUCCAAUGUAACAUAUUUUCAUAAUUGCACUGUAUGUAAUAGAUGAACAAGUGAAAACGAUCACUAAGAAUCCUAAAAUAAAAGAUGUCAAAGUAAUAAUCUUACUGAAAAAAGAAUAUUCGUCUUAUCCUGAUAGACCGCAUUGGUUGCUGAAGUUGAUUUGAGCUCUUUUGCUACAGAGCAGCUCUCACCUAAUUAAGAAAAGGUCAAAACUCUUAAGAAUAAGCAACUUCAUAGAACUCAUCAGAUAAGUUAGAAAAAACAUUGAAUAAUGAGAAAAAGAGCUGUGAAAGCCAGAAACAGCUGAUCCUCUGCAUGAUCCUUUUCACUAAGUCUGGUUGCAUAGAACCAUCAACAUCUCUGAAAAAGUAGGAUGAAAACUGGUGGAAACCAAAGGGACUCACAUGGUAUACAGGUUUUUCAACAAAUAUUAAUAUUUAUAUAUCGAUUUACUACCCUUUUAGAUAGGAAGUACAUUAAAAAGUGAAUGGAGACUAGAUUGGCAGUUCAGCUAUUUAUGGAACUAGGACAACUUUUCUAUAAAUAAAAGCAGUUAUGGAUGAGGACACAAAAUUCAGUAGCACAAAAGUUAAAGGAAAACACCGCAUACCAGUAAGAAUUGCCUGGUCAACACGUAGUUGGUUACUUAGCAUUUCGACCAUUCUCAUGUCAGCUGGGACCUUGCAACCAACUAAUCAAAAGAAAAAAGAAGAAUUUAUAAGUACAGGACAGACUCUUACUAUCCAUCCCUAAAAUUUGUCAUCUCUCUUUGUGCAGUGUAUCAUACCCCCAACUUCUACAAUAUCUCCAGGGACAAGCUCCGUGGCAGGAAGUAUAGAAAAGCAACCUGCAAAGAUUAUUAGAUCUAAAGUCAAACAUUAUUCAAUGAUUUUCCUAGAAAAUAGGUAUGUUGAAAACUUCAUAUAAAGGAACAUGUGCAUAAUAAUCGACAGCAUGAUUAAAUUAUGAAGAUUCGACCACUGCAACUUAUAUUACCAUUUCGUAGCACAGUUGCAACAUCAGCUUGGUAUGCCCGCAACUCCUAGAAAAGUUAUUAAUCCAAAAAACAUGAUAUAUAGCCAGUAAAGAUUGAGAAAAUUAGUAAUGAGAACUAGGAAGGAAAAAAAAAAAAAGAAACUUAAAGUCCGCGAGAUUGAUGCACUUAGCACACGCUAACAGUAGCAGAUAGCGCAUAAGCCUGUGAGCAAAAACAUGAUAUAUCCAAUUUAACAGAUCUAUAUUGAGAAGGAGAAGAUUCAAAUGUGUGCACAUAAGCGAUGAACUCAAUAUAAGUAAAACAACAAGAUAUUUCAAGUAUCAGAUACAAAGAAUUAGAAAAAGAGAGAAAAAUGUUGAGAUGGUAAUGAUUAUAGACAAGCUUUUAAACAGGCCAAAAGAAGUCUAUAAGCAAGGUGGCAUCUGUGCGAAAAUGUUCAUUUAACAUUACAUUACACAUAAUUAUUCAGCAUCUGACCCUCCAAUAUGCAUAGUAUAGGCACAAUUGAUAAGGACUAGUAGAUGCCAAAGACCUUGAAUCUCUUUCAGAAUCUGCAGUACUGAAAGGACAAUAUUUGUGUUUUAUCACUUCUUCAAGCAAAAUUGUUCAUGUCUUCUCCUCCACCCUAUUGCCAUCACGAAUUCCCUCCCAUAUUGAGCACCACACUUUUGAACUCCCUGUUUAGAUAUUGUGAGACAAGGGUUCAUUUGGCUCUUUUGUUAACAUUUGCCUCAUCGAUGAAAUCAACUCCUCUUAAAAAGUAAUCUGUAGUUUUUGCGAUUCUUUCAUCUGAAGAAACUUUCAGGGGGAUGCCCGUGUUUGCAUGAGCUGGUGAGCUAAAACUUCGAUCAAUGCCCAUCAGCCUACUUGCCUUAUGUUAAUGUUAAGCAUCCUCUCUCAUGAGAUUUUCCCUUCUUUCACGAUAUGUCAAGCCUCUCUUCACCAUCAAUGUAACGUCCUUUCAUGAUACUACUCCUAAAUUGUUGACAAAUUUUGCAGCGUCUUCUACCUCCUAAGACAGUGUAUUUCCAAUUUUGACGCCAGAAACAUCUCUACAUCUAUACUACAAGGAGGAAUCACACCCAAGGACAUACUUCAAAAGUUGCAUAUGCGGUAUUUGAAAAAAAAUUAAUGCCCGAUACAGGAAACAAGAUAUACAUUGACAGAAUAAAAUGUAGAGCAUUAUAUAAUGAACUAAUAAUGGUACUUCAGUUACCUGAAGUGCUUUUUCAGCAUUUGUUUCAGUUAUUACACCUACUGCUGCAUUGGCUGCCAGUAUCAAAAAGAUGACCUGAAAUGUUUCAGAGCUUUUUGAAAACAUGAUACAGUAGAAACAUGUAGUCAUUAGCAGUAGAGAAGAUAAACUAGAUAACAAGCAAAUCAAUAACUAAUGACAAUCUACAACUAAUAACUAUACACUAAAGUACGUGGAUUUCAGGGUUUCUGAGCGAGCCACGUCUACAACUAAGUUGUGAGCCGAUGGGAGCUUGCAACAUGUCCAAUGAAAUUUUGCACGCACCCUGUGCACUGUAGACCUACUCUUUAAUAUGCAUAAAAGAUAAAUUUCAGUAGUACAAUAAAGUAUUUAAAUAUUAUAUAUUACAUGUAUUAAUAUUAGGCUAAAUUACAGAAAACUACCCUGUAAAUACUUGCAUUUUCACUUUCCCUCCAUGACAUUCAAAAACCUACAUUUUGCCCCCGUAAAAUUUUAGAAAUAUUUUCAGGGGGGUACAGCAUUAAUGGAGAGGGCAAAAUAACCAAAUUACACUUCUUCUAUAAGAAAAAAAAAUAAUUUUUUAAUAUAUUUCUAUCAUUUUGAAGGGCAUUUUCGAUAUAAAUUAUAAAAAAUGGACGGAAUAGUUUUGGAACCCUGACGGAGGGGGGCUAAAUACGACAACUUAAAAUGUUGAGUGGGUAAAAUAUAGGUUUUUGAAAAUUACGGAGGGAAAGUGAAAAAACGGGUAUUUAAGGGGAUUUUCCAUAAUUUAGCCUUAAUAUUAUAUAUUUUAAAUUACUAAUUACUAGAUAUUCCUUCCUUUGCAAGCAAAUUGCUUGGACGGUCCACGAAUGAUAUGAUGGACUAAGUUCAACCAAUAAUCACCCUCAUCCCAACAAAGGGUAGUGGAGGUAAGAGAGAACAUGUUGUUUGGGCCUAAUGCACCACCUCAUCUUAGACCAUUUUAACCUUCUUUACUUUAUUGAUUUCAAUUUCGAAUCUUAACCAUCCAUUUAUCUGAAGCAUUUAACGAUUACAUUUUUAAACAGGUGAAUAUUAAAAAAAAUAAAAUGACUAGAGAUAAGGUCUAUGUUCUACAAGUGAUGUCGUGGACCGGGUCCAGAUAAUUGUAAUAUCGAGAUUCUCAAGUUAUAAAAAGUGAAGACCCCCUCAACUAUUCCACAGUUUGAACUAGAUCCCUCAACUUUAACUUAUUUUAAUUUAAAAUUUUAAUAUAUUUCUAGCAAAUAAAACUCGAACAAAUAUGAUAGAGAAAUUAAAUUUAAUUUUUAAUGAAAAUAGCUAAAAAACUUCGGUUUUAAAAAAUUAAAAAUUAAGAAGGUGUUAAUCAAAGAGUUCAAGUUGAGGGGUAAUUUCAAAGUUACCUAUAGUUUAGUUGGUUUCCAUAUAUUUUUAUUUUUAAAAAUAAAAAGCUAUUUUGAUAGCUGUAAUUUAUAGUAUUUAAAUAAUUAUACAUUAUUAGUUCACUCCGCAAAAUCUAAAAAUUAAUAAUAUACAAAGAACGCAUGAUUUAUAAAUUUUCUUUUAUAAAAAAAGUCUAAAAUUAUAAUUUUUGAUAAGUAGUUUUUCUAUUAUAAGAAACAGGGAGGUAGGGCGGAUGAAAGAAGGAUAGUUUACAAAUCGGAUGCUAAUUUAAUAAAAUACCGUAAUCAUGUAUGGUGGGAUAAUAAAAUACUGUAAUCAUGUGUGGUAGAAUAGAAGAAAGUAGAAGAGUAUUUUGAUCGUUUAGUACUCCUGAAUUGUACAUGUAAAAUUUACAUUUUUUUUCAUAGACUAAAAAUCGUUAGAUGCAAUCUUGAGUAAAUAAUACUUUAUAUUAAUUUGUUUAAAUAGAUUUUCAAUUAUUUGCCUUUAUCUAUUCUUAUUUUCUUUUACUUUUCCACUUGAAGAUGAAUCAAGGUCAAACAAGUAGAGAAAAUAGACUAAAAAGAAAACAGAUUAUUGAGGAAAAGCAGUGCAGACAAGAAUUAAAUAAAAGAUAUGCAUUACUCAAAAGGUAAAAAAGGAUUAUAACUGAUAUUUGAUCAAUUAAUAAUUUUAAAAUUAUAACAAAAUAAUAUAUUUUUACAUGAUUAAGCAAAGGAAUUUUAAAUCUUCAAACUAUCCAUCUCGACAAAACUUGAAAAAACAAAAAUUGGACCAUAAGAACCAAGUUGUAAAAGGGACAAACAACAUAAGUUACCCAACUCGAGGUGAAAACAGUAUCUCAUGUACUGAGAAAAUUAUAUGUACAGUGCAACAAGGUAUAAUUUAAUACUAGAAAGUUAAAUUAUUCUACGAUAGUUUCAAACUAUUUAUUAAAGAAUGUAUUUUCCUUUCUUCUUAGAAAAUGGCGACGAAAUUAAAGAUAAUUACUUACAACAUAAUGAACGUUCCCAACCUGUUAAUACUGUGCAGAGCUAUGCUUCAGGUGUGUACUAAAUUAAUCUUAUAAAAAUUACAUGUUUGUUUAUACAUUCGUUUUGUACUAUUAUAAGUUUAUUCAUGAAUUUUAUUAAAUUUGUUUAGGUCAUAAAGAUGAAGUACUUGAUUUAGGCACACCAGCAUAUGCGUGUGAAUAUUGUGGUGCUUACUUCUGGUAUAGAUAAAUAUAGCAGAAUCAGUUCUUCAAAAUUUGUUACUUUUAGCGGAACGAAGAAGAUGAUCCAUGCAUGCAAAUCAAGCACUAGCAAAAACCAUUAAAAUACGGUCAUUAAGCAAUUAGAUGGAGAUAAGUAACUUACAGAUGGUUCCAAAAAUGCUGUUAAGCCUGUUUCGCCAUUUAUAAGAGCCAAAAGAAAUGAAACAACGGCAGCUGCAAUUAAUAUUUUGACAAGCAAAUCAUCAAACUGCUUCAGAAUUAGCUUCCAAAAAGGGGUACCUGCAAAAAUAAAUGUCAACAAUAACUACUAUUAAGAUCUUUGUCGUAUAAAGAUCAACAGCAUAAAAGUGUUAGCUCGAAGAUUAAGUGUUAAGACACCCUAAAACAAAAUGAUGCCACAACUUUGACAAGAAAAGGUUGCCAAACAUAUAAAACUUCAAUAAUGAAUGAACAAGGCAUAGUGUUACAUAAGAACGACGUACUAAUUGACAAUUUCCUUAGGAAGACACUGUGUUUAGAUCGGUAGAACAUUCCAUUAAGUAACACAAAAAUGCUUUCCGGCAGCAAAUAAACAAGAAAAAAAACAUGCAAGAGCAGGGCUCUAUGUCUCAAUUUCAUUGUGAUCAGCUCCCUGAAUCCUUUUCUACUAUGCAAUUCUAUUUCGCACAUUUCUUCAAGCUAAAGGCACGGUGAUCUUUUCAUGUCUGUUCCUUCUCUUCAUUUGAUGGGAUCUUUCAUUCAACCAAAUAUCCAAUGAUGUUCUCCUUAAGUGCUUGACAGACAUAUCAAAACCUUUUGAACAAUUUCCAGUAAUUUAAUCUUCAAGCCGUAACUUCCAUCUAAAUAUUCUGAAGUCAAGAGCCCUUGCUCUGUAUGCACGUUUUUUUUGUAAUAAUCAAAGUUCUAAAAAUAAAGCACAUAUAAUCAAUAGAUGUCCUUAAAAAUUCUCUAUGCUUUAUAAGAAGCAUAAUACAGCCAAGUUAUGUACUUCUACUUUUCUUUUAGUAAUAACAAAAUUAUUAAUCAAAGCACUUUAUUACUUUUCUCUCAUUUUAUUCUGAUAACUAUUUACAGUGUACAUCUAUUCUAAUCUAGUAUAUAUAUUUUACAUAAUUAAAAACAGAAGCUAGCAACCAACACAUGGCCUAACUUUGAGCACAUAUUAAGUUCAUAACAGCUACGCGAAGAAGAGAAAGAAAAAAAAUUAUUGGUACUUCUAAUAAGCCAAUCGUAAAUCAAAGAUAAUAUUGUCAGAAAACAAAUCUAAAGAAGCAGGGAAUAAUGGUUACUGGUUCAUCUCAAGCAUUAGCUCCAUAAAACCUACAUAAUGAUUAAACCAGAUUAAAAAAAAAGUAUCAUCUGAUUGCAUAGGCAGCAUGCCAGUUUCACAGGAGAACCAUAUGCGAAUUCAAAUUGUGAUGCCCUGCUGAAAAUUUUGCAAAAGGUGUCGGCACUAUAUUCUACGGAAAAUGCAUUAGGUUUACAAAAGUGGCAGUUUAUCAUGGCAGUGACUCAAAGAAAAAAAAAUUAAAUAAGAAAAAACAGAGAUGUUAUGACUUGCUAUAUUUAGAGAGACUAAAACAUAGUCAGUCAUACACGCAGUAAACUACUUGAAACUCUCAGGCAACAAAACAUACAGCAAUAUUUGAUGAGUUUUUAUGAUACUAUAUACUUUUUCACAUUAGAGAAAAGAAAAAAAAAAUCAAGAAUAAGAAUAGAACUUACUUCCUUCUUGGGGUAGCACUGCAGAUCGUGCAACACAUGCAAAAAUGAAACAAUCAAGAGUCAUCAAUAUCAAAUAUCAGAAUAUAAAUAAUAAACUGAAAAGGAAAAGGCUAAGUUCAGCAAUUGAAAUUUCAGUAAUAACAUAGAAGCAAAAAGUCAACCACAUUAUAUUCCUUACGGCCAUCAAUUUUUUAUCAUAAUAACAAAAUAUAAACACAUUAUCCCUUACGGCCAUCAAUAUUUUAUCAUAAUAACAAAAUUAAUUCGCUAAAAAAGUAGUAAUAAUAAGACGCAUACCAUUCCUUCCAUACAUCCUUGCAUUUUCGGCCACCUACGCAUCACAAAAAAAAAAAAACAAAAAACAAAAUUAAAACCAAAAUUUGAAAACAACCCCAGUUCAUAUAGAAUCAAAUCAUGCACUGCAAAAAAGAAAAAAGGAAAAAUUGAAAACCACCCCCACGCGAUCGAUACCUGCGUAUCCGAGAGGCCCUUGGUCGGAUCUACACCGAAUGCUUCAAGCACCUAAUCACAAGAUCAAACAAAAGAAGCGUUUUUUAGACACGAUAGCUCUCUCGAUCCAAUUGAUCAAGCACAGAAGCGUUCUUUUAAACCCCCGCACUGCACGGAUCACGAAGGCGAGUCGGAGGAGAUUAGGGUUUACCUCGGCGACGGAUUUGGCGUAGGCGUUCUCCAUGGGCGAACAACCGAAGAGCUCGAUCUCGCGCCCUUGACGCGAGAUCUAGAGAGAGAGAGAGAGAGAGAGAGAGAGAGAGAGAUGGGUGGGGUUGUCGUGUGGAGGCGAAGUGAGUGCAGGGGCUCGCCAGAUCGAAUCGGAUCGUAGGGUUUUGAGGGGUACAAAAAAAAAAGGUGGGGGACGAGCGAGUAACGGUAACGGUAACGGUAACGGUCGUGAAAUGUAACGGUGGAAAGCAGGCUCAUUUAACGGAAUGGAAACGUGAUGUGAUGUUAAUUGAAUUUUUGGAAAAAACUUCAAAUUCCACCGCGUAAUUUCGCACUUUCUCACUUUAGUAUUCUACAGUUUAAAAUGUAUCAAUCUAAUACCUAUAGUUUUUUUUUAUUUUUUAUUAUCUCCUAUAUUAAUUUUUUUUGAUAAAUCAGUGAUAAAAUUAAAACUAAAAUGUACUAAAAUAAAUAUUUGAUAAACUUAGGUAGGAUAUCUUAAGUUUUUUGUAUAUAAUUUAACAAAAUGUUAACGAAGGAGCUGACGAAAAAAAAAAAAAAAUACCACAGGACUAAACUAAUACAUUUUAAAUUACAUAAUACUAAAAUAACAGAGUGUAAAACAAUAGGGUGGUAUUUGAAAUUUAUCCUUGAUUUUUAUAUUCUCUCUAUUUUUUUAACCAUCAGUUCAACAUGUUAACGAAAUGUUAACGAAGGAGCUGACGAAAAAAAAAAAAAAAAAAAAAACCACCGGACUAAACUAAUACAUUUUAAAUUACAUAAUACUAAAAUAACAGAGUGUAAACCUAUAGGGUGGUAUUUGAAAUUUAUCCUUGAUUUUUUAUAUUCUCUCUAUUUUUUUAACCAUCAGUUCAACAUGGUCCAGAGAUUUCUCAGUCUCAUGGAAUCUUUGCUCAUUCUAUUUUCACCCCCCAUGAGAAAAAAAAAAUUCCUAAACCCGGACCACCACAUCAGCCAAAUAUUAGCUCAUACUUCUCACUCCACGGAGUCCUACAAAAUUUUCAAAAAAAUAAAAAGAUCCAGAACACAACUCCUGUAAUUUCGAAAUUACGAAAGUUUUCGUAUUUAUAAGUUAUUUUCAAUAAUAGGAUAUCCGAUGCAACGAUCGACACUACUGUUAGGCAUAAUCUAAGCAAGUGAAAUUAUCUAAAAAGCAAAUUUCAUAAUUUUUCGACAUCAUUUAUCAAGUGAUCAAAAGAUCUCGAAAUGACUAUUUUUAACGGUCGAUGUGGCAUGUUUUAAGUUCAACGGCGUAAAUUAAUCCAAAUUACAUGAAACUUUAAUAGAAAAUUCUACUUAACAUCAAUAGCAACACCAAUACUUCUAAUUUGAAAUUUGAGUAUUUUAUCACUAUUAUUUAUUAAAUUUUUAUUUUUAGCCGUUCAUAUUGAGGCAGCUCGUUCACUAGGCGAAUGGAGUUAAAAAAAAAAUUAUGAGAUUUGAUUUCUAGGUAGUUUCAAUAGUGUAGAUUAUGUUUAACAGAACUGAUCGCUGAAUCAGAUGUUUGGUCUCCGUAUUCUUGAAAGCAUAGGAGGCUCAAAGACUCCGUAUUCUAUUUCCAAAUAUGUGAGGAUAUAAAAAGAAGGAAAAAUUUUAAAUACCACCCAUGUGGUUUCAUACUUUCUCACUUUAGUACUCUCUGGUUUAAAAUGUAUCAAUUUAGUGUCUUGUAAUUUUAUUUUUAUCUUUUUAUUAUCAAUUUCACUAAUUUUUUUCGUUAAAUCAGUGUCAAAGUUAAAACUAAAAGGUACUGAAGUGAAUAUUCAAUAAAUUUAAGUAGGGUAUAUGAAGUAUUUUGCAUAUAAUUUAAUAAAAUAUUAACGGAAAAUCUAAUGAAAAGAUAAAAAUAAAAUCACAUGACACUAACUUGGUACAUUUUAAAUCACAUGAUAUUAAAAUGAGAAAAUGUGAAACCAAAGUGGCGGUAUUCGAAGUUUACCCCAAAAAAAAUUACUGGUUCACAGUGGACCACGGUCCACGGAAUCCUCACCCGAGAUCGAUCUCUCUCUCUCUCUCUCUCUCUCUCUCUGUAUCCGCUUCCCCUUCGCGUGAUUCCAUUCUCCAGCACCUCUCAAUCUCUCUCUCUCUCUCUCUCUCUCUUCAUAGAUCUCAGCCUCCCACGAGGCCAAAACGCCCGAUUCGAUCGAAAAAGCACCUUAAUUUGAUCCUGUAUAAGGUAAAUUUCACUUCCCACUAUGCGAUUUUGGACUAGGAGAAGCGAAUCGGCUCUGAAUCGACCGUGCUCUGUGUUUUCCGAUUAAAAUGAGUGGAUUCUCCCACUGGGUUCGCUUAGAAUCCCACUAAAAGAUGAUAUCUAGGAUUUAAUCGGCGUUGUGCGGUGCCAAAUGAGUGAAUUGUAGUACCCGGAUGAUCAAUUCUCUUUUAAAGAUGCGAUUUUGGACCGGAAUGAUCGAGUUUGUUGAGUGAUUUCUCCGAAUUCGAAGUGCCCAUAAGGCGAAACCCUUGAUUGUAGGCCGUUUUAUGUGUUUUUGAUGGAGAGAUAGCUUCGAAUCGAAGUGCCCAUAAGGAAACAUUGGGUUUUUGGGCGAUUUUUUGUGUUGUAAAGAUGAAUUCUAGGGUUUCUUCUAUGGAGGAUGUGAAGGAUUCGAUUCAGAGGUCGCAGCCGAGGGUGUUCAAGUUGGUGCUUUUGAAGUUUUUCCUUGUAUUCCUUGUUCUGGGUGUUGGUUUCUCCCUCUUUAGCAUGUACAUGGCCCGGCAUAUCGGGGUGCGAGACAUAGUAUUGCAAGCUCAAUCCACAUUCAAGCCGUGCUUCGAGGAGCAGGGUAGCCUCGACCGGUGGAUCAGGCCGCCGUCGACCUUGAUGCACUCGAUGAGCGACGAGGAGCUCUUGUGGCGGGCGUCGUUCGUGCCGCUCGUGAAAAAGUAUCCUUUCGAGAGGAUUCCUAAGAUUGCCUUCAUGUUCUUGACGAGAGGGCCGUUGCCGCUCUCGCCGUUGUGGGAGAAGUUCUUCAAAGGGCAUGAAGGGCUUUACUCGAUUUAUAUCCACGCUCUUCCUUCUUACGAGGCCAACUUCACUUCCGAUUCGGUUUUCUACAAAAGGCAGAUUCCCAGUAAGGUAUCUUUUUUGGCUUUUUUUUAAAGUUUGCAUUUAGGCUGUUUUGAUUCUUUGAAUAAGUAUGAUGUGCAUAGCUGAUCUUAGUUCGAUGCGUAAUAUUUUGUUUAGCAUCAGUACCAUAGGAUAUUGAAGCAUCUUUUUGGAGCAUGCUACUUUUUUUUUCUCUCUUAGCGCGAUGUUAAGUGGAGCCGUUUUAAUUGUAACAAUAAACCUUUCAUCUUUUCACAUCUUAAUCAUUGCAACAGGCCACCAGGUUAGUGUCUUUUCAUAUCUAUAUAUCCUACCUAGAUGCCAUACAUUGUUAUCAUUAGGAAAUAUUUGCUGCCGUAGGCUUUGUUUUUGCAAAUAGAUGGCCACAUUCUUCCAUAAUUCUGUUGCGUCUCUUUUUUGUGACAGUCAGCUUGGUUGUUUCAAGAUGUGAGCUUAAAAAUUAUGUGCCUGCAAGUGGUAUUAUUGAUGUUCUAGGUUGCUCCUUUCUAGAUUUAUACGAUGCUCAUAGGUUUUCCAUUUCGUUUAUAGGAUGCUCAUAGGUUUUCUACUUCAACUUCGCAUUUCAUGCAUCUUCUUGGUCUUGCAGAUAAUGACACUUCUUUUAAUUCACUGCUCGCCUCUUCUCCAAAGAUGCAAAGGAAACUUUAGCCCUCGACCUCAUUUAGACCCUGUUUGUUUGCAUAAAUAUCUUGUUUGAUAUAUCCAUACGAUUUACUUAAGAAGCAUAUAGUAUUUGACAUGUGAGGAGUGUGAUCAAAUAUCUAGAAUGAACAUCAUAUUUGGCCUUGAAAGUCAUUUUUUAGUAAUAGGAUAAAUCACCUUUUAGGUAAAAUAUACUAUCCUACCAAAUCAUGAAUGUCAUGAUCUUUCAAUGAGCAAAAAUCAUAAUAAAAGCUUCCAAUCAGGCAAGAAAAUUUUCAUUAGUAAGGUUCAAGACACUAAAGAAUGAUAGGGACACUAAAGAAUGAUAGGAUAUUUCGUCAUUAAAUUAUAUCAGGGAGCCCAAAUAGGGUCUGAUAAUUAGCUUUACAUGAGAUGGAAAUCAUAUGAGAUUUUGUUGUUUUUGGCUAGGGCAUGCCAGGUAGAUCAGAAAUAAGAUUAAAAGUCACUACAGCACACUCAGUUUUACAAAGAACAUUGGAUCGCUUAUUUUUUAAGUUUGCAUCGGGUCAUGGGUCGAGCAACCUCUGGUGGUUGAAGAGGUCUUUUCAUCUCUAAUGGUGAUUCCACCGUAGUAGCUUAUAAUAAUGCUUCAUAUGAUGCGGAUACACUUCAUAGUUUUUAAAUUUGUAGUAUAUCAAGGAUUGGGGGGACUGUGGCAGCUUAUUCAAGAAAUCAUCGUCUCCCCAAGGAAUAAUUUUAGGGAUAUUAUCUGAGUUGUGCUUUGUGGAAUAGGCAAUGCUCGUCGGCUUGUUAGGAUGGUAUAUUGUGUACAAAUUAUAUCUGUAUAAAGUGUUCACCAUGACAUCAUCUUAAACAGUUUAUGAGUGUUUCUAAAGGUGCUUGUGUCCUUCUUAGCUUGCAAGGCGAGCAUGUAAGGUUUGUUAGGCUCUAUCACUAAAAUAGUUUAGCGCUAUUUUUGUGCUUUAAGGAAGAAGAGUUGGGAGAGGUGAAAUAGAUAGAAGAGAAGUUGGAUAUUCUAUAAUCUCAACAAAAUUGAUUAUGCCAAACAUGGAUGAGUUCGGAGGAUGACGUCUUGAAAAAAGACAAUCAAAUAUAUUUUUACUGGAUUCUCAUUAUGUGCUAUUCAUCUAAGAAUCUAGACUAAAAGCUUUCCAUGUUUGUCACAUUUUUUAAAGUGCUAUUUCAUCUUGUUAGAGUCAAAAUAUUCAGUAGAAUAUGCUCUUGGAUUUUCCCUUAAACAAUCUUGUUGUGCUGUGUCAUCUUGUUCCAGUCAGAACAUUCAUCAUAAUAUGCUCUUUUGGAUGCCCCAAAGACAAGUGCUUAAAGAAGGCCAACAAGUAUACAAAUUAAUCCUCUAGUCCACUCUUCCCUCAUUAGCCAUUUUCCAUGUAGGCCCCAUCAUAAGCACUCAUAAAUCAACUGCUAAACAACAAGCACAAUUAAGCAUCUCUUCCUUUUGAAAUAACAGCUUGAAUUUGGAUAAUCUGGCUUAUUUUCAAAGCAGAAGCAGCUUGUCUUGAGCUAACUAUGACAACUGUGCCACAACCCCAAAAGUGGAGUAAUAGGUCAAUUUAUUAAUGUUUUAAAACAUGCUUAUAAUAUUCAUCACAGAGCAGAUAAUUGGCACAUAGAUUCUUCUAUUGGCUUUUCUAUUAGAAUUCUGAAGGCUGUAUUGUUUCCAAAUGUGUAUCUCUUGAAGUUUGAUUGGAUUUAUGGAGUUCGGAGAUCGGAUCAACAAAUUUGGAUGAGAUUGUGCGGAAAAGCUGUUAAAAUGUAAAGACAAUGAGGCAGUUUAUUUAGCAAUCGUAGGAUCUAGCAGACAGUGACUUUCCGACCUCAGUUUUUAUAGUAGUAAUGCAUUGGAAUUUCGGCAUUUUGGCUUAUAAUUACUUUUCAGCCGAAGCUGAUCCUGGUGUUGGGACAAAAAUGAGCUAUAUUUUCAACUUAACCUGACAAGACCUUAAGAUAGUGCAGACCUGUAGCGAGCUUAAUCACGUUCCUAUGUCAGAAUUGAUUUGACCCUGUCGGAUUUGGUUGGAGGAUUUCCCCUGAGCGCGAAUCUACUUCAUGAAUUGCACAUACUGCUGAAACUUUCCGUGUUAUGUAAAGAACAUUGAUUCUCAUUUUAUCUGAUUUCCGUCUGUUAAAGUACAACAGAUCCUCACUCUGCAUUCGAUGCCUGCGCUAUCUUUGAUCUCUUUAUUCGAGAUUGACAGCCGUUCUUUCUGCUCUGUACUCCUUUCUAAUAUAGUUAAAUUCCUAACAAACUAUGGCCAGCCCAUUUUCUAUGAAAACCCAUAUCUAACUUUUAUUGCACGAUUGUUAGCGACCCUUGGAUUGGUUGAAUCAUGUAGUGCUUUAAGUAUUUGACAUUUCUGUUGUUGUAAUUCGGUUUGCGUGCGCAAACAUGAAAUGGUCCAACUGAACAGAUUUUGCCGCCGUCGUAUCAUUUGAUAUUUUCUAAAUACUCGACUAUUUAGAGAUAAGAGUUUUAUACGAGUAAUAUUCUUCACUGCGGGAUUAAAGGAAACGAGAAAAAAAUGUAGCAAGUUGAAAAGGAUUAAAUAGUCAUCAAGGGAUUGGGGUUCGUCAAAGAAGAGUUCAUAGUACUGACACAGCAGGAGCGAGCUUUAUUAUUACUAUCUCUUUAGCUUCUGUGCUUUAUAUCCAAUUCUAUGCUGUGCAGUAGACUCUCUCUGUAUACCUUUGUUUUGAGCUUCUGUUUCGAUACAUGAGGUCACAGGACCGAUUCGUAUGUUGUACUUUCUAUCUGCUUCAGUAUUCCAACUUCCUACUAAAAACCUAUUUAAGCCUAUUUACUGCUUAUUAGACCUUAGGAGAUCUCAGAUUCACUGGCAAUUUUGUAAGAGUGUUGCUCCAGCAUAUACGCAACUAGACUUACCUAAAAUGCGAGUUUAUUUGCUUUGCGGAUUUGGCACUGGAAAGCAAAAUGUUACUCUCGAUUAUCUUCUUUGUUUGACCUUAUAGUUUUGUUUUCCAAAUCAAAUCUUCAGGUAUCUGAGUGGGGCGAGAUGAGCAUGUGUGAUGCCGAGCGGCGCUUGCUCGCCAACGCACUGCUCGACCUCUCCAACGAGUGGUUCGUCCUCCUUUCUGAAUCGUGCAUCCCUCUCUACAGCUUCAACGUCACCUACAAAUACUUAUCCAAGUCCGUCCACAGUUUCAUGAGCAUAAUCGACGACCCCGGCCCUUACGGUAGGGGCCGCUACAACGAAAACAUGUUGCCUGAAGUCAACAUCUCGCAAUGGCGAAAGGGGUCUCAGUGGUUCGAAGUCAGCCGAAAGCUUGCGGUCUCUAUAGUCAAAGACACCGUUUACUACCCGAAGUUCAAAAAAUUCUGCCGUCCGCAUUGUUAUGUGGACGAGCAUUACUUCCCCACUAUGCUCGCCAUCGAAUCUCCGCAUCUGUUGGCAAAUAGGAGUGUCACUUGGGUGGAUUGGUCAAGAGGCGGCGCCCAUCCGGCUACAUUUGGGAGGUUCGACAUCAGUGAGGCGUUUUUAAGGAGGAUUCUCGAGGGGCACACUUGUUCGUACAAUAAUCGCAAUUCGACGAUUUGUUUUCUCUUUGUGAGGAAGAUUGCUCCGAGCGCUUUGGAGCCCUUGUUAGAGUUAGCGCCGAAAUUGCUCGGCUUUGGCUAGACAAUGAGAAUUUUUGCUAGAUUCUUGGGAUUUUCUUCUUCUUUUUUUUUUUUGAUGAUGCGUUUUACGGAGAUCUCCUCGAUCUUUAGUAGAUUUAUGUAGUGAUGGAAUUGACACGCAUAUUUUUAUAUUUUUCAUUAGUGUUACACUUGAACCACUUUUUUUUGUAUAGUAAAUUGCCAGAUAUAAAUUUCACUGAAUACAGCUCUAGUUGAUUUCUAUGGAUUCUAUGUUUUUUUUUUUUUUCUUUUGGUAUUGAUUUAAGGCCUGUUUGGCUCAUCUAGAGCAUGCGUACAAAAUGUUGUUCGAAUAAAACUAUUUGAAGAAUCUGUAGUAACUAAUGUUUCAGUUGUGAGCAUAAAGGGGCCGUUUGAUUAGAUGUAAUUUUAAAUGCAGUAUUGUUGGAGAUGCUUAUAGUUGGAAAUGCAGUAGCCACAAUUACAUGCACUUUGCUCGGUUGGAUGUAAUAGAAAGUGUUGUAAUUAUAAAUAAUCUCUGAUUACAUGUUGCUGCAACUUCAUCCCUUCAUUAAGUAGGUCUGGGCCCAUCUUCAUAUUGGACCAACCUAGAAUGGUAUGGGACCAUUAUUGUCCUUUUUAAACGGAAAAAAAAGAAGCCCAAACCCAUUUGAGCUUUACUAUGAUUUGAGAUUGAGUUUGUUACCCCAAUCUAGUAAGAAACAAAUCAACAAAUAUGGUAGCGUUUGGUUCGGGUAUAAGCAAAAACUAGCUAUUACAGGAAUAUGUACAAGUAUGAAGAUAAGAAAAAUAGCGUUUGAAUGAAAAUUGAGUUGUUUCCGGAGAUAAGAAAAAUAGCAUUUGGAUAGAUAAUAUGGAAUAAGAAAAAUAGUGGAUAAUUACGUAUAGAAAAUGAAGAUGUUGAUUAUUUUAGAUAACCGAGAAUUACUAUUUUCGGAUAAAAAAUUUGUAUUUGGGUAUAAAGGGGAUAAGGAAUUAUCCCUCCCCUUAUCGGAGUUAUCCCUCUCCUUAUUCUCAAUCCAAGUACUGCCAUUUAGACAUAAAAUAAAGAGAUUUAAAAUUUAUUCGAAUACUAUAUUAUUCGAAAGAAUAUAUAAUAGAGUUCACCAUUGAACUUAAGAAUUUGAAAUAUAUGGUACAUAAAUAAAUUUCUGUCCUUUUUGAAGUUCAGAUGAUGAUCUCAAAUUGCGCUAAAAGUGUACUCUUUCUCUUCUUCCUUUGCUUCUUUUUUUUUUUUUCUUUAUUCGUACGACAUUUGGUUGCGCAAACCGAUGGAGACAUCCCAAGUCUCAGUAUGUUCAAGUCAAAUUGAGCCUAAUUUUGAAAACCCCAGUUUGGUGCAGUGGAAAUUAAUGCUUUCGCUGUAAAUUCAAAGCUUGAUGUGAAAUGGAUCCGUGGUGGUGGAGCUCCCGUCCUGAUUCGCUUCGAAUGCAGCGAUAAGUGGUGAGAUCAAAAAAAAAAAAAAGAGAAUCAUCUCAAAUCAAUCCCGAUCCGUAAAAAAGAUGGAUCGUCCAAAAAUCCACCAGAAAUCCGCUCCAGCACCAUCCUGCUUCGAACAUCCAGAAUUCGCUCUGACCUGCCAAAAACAUGGGGCAAGGGGUGCGAGACUCCUCCGGUCUCUAUAUCCGCCCUGUUUGCAUCGCUGAUCUUAACUAUUUUUUUCUACUCCGAACAAAUAGUUUGCUACAACUCCCCUCCCUAUUUCAAAAAAUCUUGCCCAUCAAACCUUUCUAAAUGUAUAUAUAAAUAUAAAUAAAAAAUAAAUAUAUUAUUUUCUUUUUCC
rnacentral:lncRNA from 1 species